UUGGGAAUAUACUGUCCCAGAAAAUUUUAAAUCUAUAAUACUCUACUUCAAUAAAUAAUACGCAGAAAUAGGCUUAGAGAAAAUAAAUAGAGAAAGUGGAAAAAUGGAACCCGAGAUGCUGAGGCGUGGUAUGUUGGUCACUUUCCUUGAAGUAGAUUUCGCCGCCUUACAGUGCACUAGGCUUAGAUGGCGUUCUACUCCUGAGAUACAACAGCCUCUCGCACUGUUCCUUCUGCCUCAAUGAUUUGCACUGAUCAAAGAAGCUUUCGAACCCAGAAUCAGUAUGCAGCAAGCCCGUUGAUUGAAAGAAAAAUAACAAACAGGGAGAAUAGUAGUUUUCUGCUUUCAAAUUAUAUAUUUUUCCUGUCUAAUCCGAAGAGGUCUAUUUAUAGACUUCUUCGGGACAGACGCGACCCAAAACCGAUCCAACGGUCAAAACCGGUAAGAAAGUUUGAAAAAACACUGGGAGUAUGGCCAGCGGAUGCGAGGUCGGUUGCGAAGAGGUGCUAUCGAGGAAGCGACGUGGCUCCUCGUGCUAAGGGUGCGAAGCACGACUCAUGCGCCUCUUGGCUCAUCGCACCUGUUGUCCGACCUCGGCUCCUCUGGACUCAUUGCACCUGUGGUCCGACCUCAGCCUCGGCACCUCGGACGAGCAUAGGCACAAGGAACCUCGGACGAGCAGGGCCUCAGUCNNNNNNNNNNNNNNNNNNNNNNNNNNNNNNNNNNNNNNNNNNNNNNNNNNNNNNNNNNNNNNNNNNNNNNNNNNNNNNNNNNNNNNNNNNNNNNNNNNNNNNNNNNNNNNNNNNNNNNNNNNNNNNNNNNNNNNNNNNNNNNNNNNNNNNNNNNNNNNNNNNNNNNNNNNNNNNNNNNNNNNNNNNNNNNNNNNNNNNNNNNNNNNNNNNNNNNNNNNNNNNNNNNNNNNNNNNNNNNNNNNNNNNNNNNNNNNNNNNNNNNNNNNNNNNNNNNNNNNNNNNNNNNNNNNNNNNNNNNNNNNNNNNNNNNNNNNNNNNNNNNNNNNNNNNNNNNNNNNNNNNNNNNNNNNNNNNNNNNNNNNNNNNNNNNNNNNNNNNNNNNNNNNNNNNNNNNNNNNNNNNNNNNNNNNNNNNNNNNNNNNNNNNNNNNNNNNNNNNNNNNNNNNNNNNNNNNNNNNNNNNNNNNNNNNNNNNNNNNNNNNNNNNNNNNNNNNNNNNNNNNNNNNNNNNNNNNNNNNNNNNNNNNNNNNNNNNNNNNNNNNNNNNNNNNNNNNNNNNNNNNNNNNNNNNNNNNNNNNNNNNNNNNNNNNNNNNNNNNNNNNNNNNNNNNNNNNNNNNNNNNNNNNNNNNNNNNNNNNNNNNNNNNNNNNNNNNNNNNNNNNNNNNNNNNNNNNNNNNNNNNNNNNNNNNNNNNNNNNNNNNNNNNNNNNNNNNNNNNNNNNNNNNNNNNNNNNNNNNNNNNNNNNNNNNNNNNNNNNNNNNNNNNNNNNNNNNNNNNNNNNNNNNNNNNNNNNNNNNNNNNNNNNNNNNNNNNNNNNNNNNNNNNNNNNNNNNNNNNNNNNNNNNNNNNNNNNNNNNNNNNNNNNNNNNNNNNNNNNNNNNNNNNNNNNNNNNNNNNNNNNNNNNNNNNNNNNNNNNNNNNNNNNNNNAAAUUGAGCUUGAAGAAAAAGUCUCUGAAAAGCAAUGAGUCAUGGAUCCUAUAGAACCCAUUCAUACAGAGCCAGUACACGUUGUUCCUCCUCCACCUCGCAGAUCUAGUAGGAUACUAAGAAAAUUUUCCUCAUGGGAGAUAGAAAACACAUACAGGAUCCCAAAACUUACGAUGAGGCGAUAUCAGAUAUCGAUUACAAAAAAUGGUUGGAAGCUAUGAUGUCAGAGUUAGACUCCAUGCAUUCCAACCAAGUCUGGACCAUAGUGGAUCCACCAGAAGGUAUUGUGCCUAUUGGAUUCAAAUGAAUCUACAAAAGGAAGACAGAUUCGGAUGGAGAAGUAGAUACCUAUAAGGCAAGGCUAGUAGCGAAAGGGUAUAGUCAGCGCGAAGGCAUUGACUAUCAGGAGACCUUUUCACCUGUAACCAUGCUGAAAUCGAUCCGAACAUUGCUUGCCAUUGCAGCAUUUCAUUAUUAUAAAAUUUGGCAGAUGGAUGUGAAAACUGCUUUUCUGAAUGGAUAUCUUGAUGAAGAUAUCUAUAUGGAGCAGCCUUUGGGUUUCACUUCCAGUGAUGGAGAUCACAAGGUCUGCAAGCUGCAAAGGUCCAUUUAUGGACUAAAGCAAGCAUCUCGGAGUUGGAACACCCGUUUCAAUGAUGCAAUCAAAACAUUUGAUUUCAUCAAGAACGAAGAGGAACCAUAUGUUUACAAGAAGGUUAGUGGGAGUGCUGUCGUAUUUCUCGUAUUGUACGUGGAUGACAUUCUCCUGAUAGCGAAUGAUAUUUCCAUGCUAACCGGUCAAGGUCUGGUUGUCAAAAGAAUUCUCCAUGAAAGAUCUUGAGGAAGCAUCCUAUAUUUUGGGGAUAAAAGUCUAUAGUUAUAGAUCCAAAAAGAUGCUUGGCCUAUCACAAAAGAUAUACAUAGAGAAAGUGCUGAAAAGGUUCAGCAUGGAAAACUCCAAUAGGGGUCUCUUACCCCUUAGGCAUGGAAUUCAUCUCUUUAAGAAGAUGUGCUCCAAUACAUCUGAAGAGAUUCAACGCAUGAGCAAGAUCCCUUAUGCAUCGGCAAUAGGGAGCCUCAUGUAUGCCAUGCUGUGUACACGACCUGAUAUAGCCCUUGCUGUGAGUGUCACUAGCAGAUAUCAGUCGAAUCCAGGUGAAGAAACACUGGNNNNNNNNNNNNNNNNNNNNNNNNNNNNNNNNNNNNNNNNNNNNNNNNNNNNNNNNNNNNNNNNNNNNNNNNNNNNNNNNNNNNNNNNNNNNNNNNNNNNNNNNNNNNNNNNNNNNNNNNNNNNNNNNNNNNNNNNNNNNNNNNNNNNNNNNNNNNNNNNNNNNNNNNNNNNNNNNNNNNNNNNNNNNNNNNNNNNNNNNNNNNNNNNNNNNNNNNNNNNNNNNNNNNNNNNNNNNNNNNNNNNNNNNNNNNNNNNNNNNNNNNNNNNNNNNNNNNNNNNNNNNNNNNNCUAUCAUCUAACCUCUCAUUGUUCUCUUCUAAUUUUGAUUGUUGGUUUCAUCUUAUUGUUUUUGGAUAGUUUGCAUCCUGGGCGUUCUCGAAUCUCGACGGUUGCGUCUUCGGCCUCUUCUCCAACUCCAUCCAUCAGUCUCCAGCACCGCUUCUCACCGUCAAGUUCGGCCCUGCUUUGUUGGAACUUGAGUUCGUUUUUCUUGACAUUAUCAAGUUUUAUCAUUUUCAACUCUUUUAUAUUUUGAUUUGUUUGUAGUGAUUGUCUUAAUUGCUUUGUUUGAUAGACGAAUUAUUUUUAAAUAAAUUUUUAGAGUAUUUUACACUUAUUAAAUUUUUUUAUCAUUUUUUUUUAAAGGCCUCUCUUAGCGAGUUCGCCUUAGGCCCCCAAAUGCAUUGGGCCGCCCCUAGCUGCCGCGAAGGCCCAUGCGAGUCCUCGCCUCCCCCCAACGAUGUCUCGGUGGCGGAUAUUGUCACGCAGCAAUUCUUCGACGGAAUUAUUAAUCAGGCGGAUAACGGGUGCGUCGGCAAGAACUUCUACACAAGAGCCGCGUUCCUUGAUGCUCUCGGCUCCUACCCCAACUUUGGCCGGGAUGGGACCGUGGAUGAUUCCAAGAGGGAGAUAGCAGCCUUCUUCGCCCAUGUCACCCAUGAGACUGGACGUAAGUUCUCCAAAGUAUAACUUUAUUCCUGUCGACCCAUGGUGUAGGAUUUUAUAGACGAGUCGAAUGGAUUAAGCAUUAGUCGGACAGCAUAAUUAACAAGAUAUUGGUUUCAUUUAAGGCUGCGUUAGAGUCGAGAAGAAGAAAAAUUGGAAUAGGAAAGUUAUGCCUGCUCGAAUAGUUAUUCCCAUUCCUACUUUUCUGGUGGGCUAAAAUUUUGGAAUGACUUUUGGCUGAGGAUACUCUUAUCCAUACCAGUCGGACAGCAUAAUUAACAAGAUAUUGGUGCAUGACAUGUCUAGCCAGGUAUAUUGCUCUUUGUUUUUCUUUUAGGCUGCGUUUGAAUCGAGAAGAAGAAAAAUUGGAAUGGGAAAGUUAUGCCCAUGUUAUUCCCAUUCCUAUAUUUCUGGUGGGCUAAAAUUUUGGAGUGAAGGGUAUUCUUAUCCGUGCCUUUAAAACAAAGAAAAUAAACAGGCAUAAAUGAUGGUUUUAAGCCAUAAAUAGUUUAUGAUUGUUUUCUCUUGAAAUAGUUGCAGGCUUGGAAUUGGUAUAAUCUCUAUUUCUUUCUUAUAUGGCUUUUUCAAAGACUAUUUAGGUGCUUCAUUGGUUUAUUCCCCAUGGCAUAAGUAAACAUAUAUUCUUAAGAUAUUUCUCUUUGGAAUAUGCUUUGGUUCUCCCUGCCGAGGUGAAUGAGACUUUUCCACUAGCCAUGAAUCCCACCAACAAAAAGCUUAUGUAUAAUAUCAGAUUCUUGAAGAUGCACGCAUGCAUCGGAAGAUCAUCAUGAAGUCAUGUGAGACCCAAGAGCAGUGCAUCUCCUAUGCCGUCAAAUUAAAGCAUCGAUCGAAGCUGCACAACUGAAACGAGCCAAACUGUACAAAUAGUUCAGAGACCAUAGGAAGAAGGAAACUCACCCAAAAGAAGCCCCAAAACUUUUUGUUCAUCAUUUCCUCCAAUUUAGCUGCUAGUUUGCUCUCUGUCCAGCUUUUCAGUAGCAAGUAGCAACACAACCAAAUAUCUACAGGCUACCUUCUAUGUUUGCUCCAUAUGCAGCCUUUAUGUUUUUGUUUGCAUCUCAUCAAUUAGUGCUGCUGAAUCAUCCAGCAACAUGACUGAUUUCUAAUGUUCUUCGUUGCAGAUUUCUGCUACAUAGAAGAGAUCGACGGCGCGUCGAAGGACUACUGCGAUGAGACCAACACACAGUGGCCAUGCGUUCCAGGGAAGGGGUACUACGGCCGUGGCCCAAUUCAGCUAUCCUGGAACUUUAACUACGGUCCUGCGGGAAAAAGCAUUGGAUUCGAUGGCUUGAAUUCACCUGAAACCGUGGCUAAUGAUGUUGUUAUAUCAUUCAAGACAGCCUUGUGGUAUUGGAUGACCAACGUGCAUUCGCUCAUAACUUCUGGCCAAGGGUUCGGAGCCACGAUUCGAGCCAUCAAUGGAGCUCUUGAGUGUGAUGGCAAGAACCCAGAAACAGUUAAUAAACGCGUUGGAUACUACCUGGAUUACUGCAAGCAAUUUGGUGUGGCUCCAGGAGACAACCUUACUUGUUAGAUGCUUUUAUGAUUUACCUAGCUCCAACUCCAUUGCAUGUUAAAUGGAGGGGAAUACAUAUUAAUUUGAAAUUAUUGAAUAAAGGUGUGGCUACCUAUCUAUUCCUUGUAGCUCCAAGUCCAUUGCAUAUUAAAUGGAGGGGAAUAAAUAUUAAUUUGAAAUUAUUGAAUAAAGGUGUGGCUACCUACAUAUUCCUUCUUCUCAUAUUAAUUUUAUGAUUUACCUAGGUCCAAGUCCAUUGCAUGUUAAAAUGAGAGGAAUAAAUAUUAAUUUGAAAUUGUUGAAUAAAGGUUGGCAUGACAUGAGGCUACCUUUUUUAUGUUUUUGGCAUGACUUUUGCAUCUGAUAUGUUUAAGUUGUUCAGAGCUAGAGUAGGAAAUCCAACUUUUUUUUAUUUUUUGUAGUAGCUUUGAGUGCUUUAAUGUGAAAUCCAAAAUGGCUCUCCUGCUGUGUUGCAUGACAUUUUCCUUUUCACCUGCUUGAGCAAUGAUUAUAAUGCAAAUAUCAAUAUAGGCCAUCCAAAGUGGAGAUUCUCACCAUUCAUCAUAUUCAAACACUGAAAAUGCUCAUAAGCUUAAAAAUGAAUAUUUUAAUGCCUCUACUUAUGCAUCUAGCUCCAAAAUAGAUGAUACUAAUUGAGCUGGCAUUCUAAAUUACCGGUUGACUAUUACAUAAGUAAGUUUGUAGUGCACAUGAUAAUCUUUCUUCUUGAGAAAGAAGAUCUUUCCAAUAAUGGAGUAGUAAUACAGGAGAUGAAGUAAUAAUAGAAGACUCUGAAACUCAUAAAACAAUAAAGAAGAGAAUUAAAUAUUUCAUUUAAUCCAAAAUAACCUUUUUUAUAGUAGCUCAUAUCACAGACUCAUAGCCCAAAAACUUAAGUUAUUACCCGAGGAACCAACCCAAGCUUAUAAACCCAUAUAAGGUACCUUGUAACACCCUUGUCACGGGUUAGCUCGCAUUCAAGAAAGGGAUCCGCCUAUGGCCUGAGUCCUAGAUGACCUUAAUAUCCCUAGUGAAAGAUCCACAGGGCUGAUAAGAUCGUGAUGCAUAUUAAACCUGGCUCUAAUACCAUCCGUCAUAGAGUCAUAGCUUCUUUCUAUUUGAUGGGCGAUCAGCCCAGACUUUAAAACCCAUAUAACACUCUCAGUCGAUCUAAGACAAUGAUAUUAGGCACCCCUAUUUACAGUUGUAGGAUUCUGCUCUUAUCCGUGAAAGUAGAAUAUAAUCUCUCUUAUAAUUAGUUAAUAUUUGAUUAAGUACAAAUGUUGAAAGUGAUUAUAGAAAUGAUCUUCUCGCAAUUGCCUAGGAUCUUUGGUUGAUCUUGAUAUCAAGGCUUUUUAAAAUCUACCUAGAUUUGAUGAUAUCAAACUUAUUUGAUCAUAUCUUGAUCAAGAUUUAUGUCAAAAAAAUUUCUCCUCUAGUUAAUCUUUAAAUAUGAAAAAGGUAAAUGCAUAUUGGCCAAGUCUACAAUGCGUAUCAGUUUGACGGUAAAACAAAGACACAGUCAUCACCAUUUCAUUAAACAAAUGAAAUGAUGCAUGAAGGGGUCGAGCAAAGUUGACACGGGGGAAGAGAAGGCUGGCUAGUUAGAUUACAAUCAAAACCUCCAUCCACAAGUAGAGAUUGAAUAGAGCGAAAGCCGGAUCAUCCCAAUACAAAUCUCUAACACAGACCAAUCUCCACUUUUAAAAUGAAGCCUAUGAAACGAUGCUCUUUCUGGUACCCUCCAUCAUUGAAGUCAUUCCUAGUUCUCUAUUUUUUUCACCCACUUAAUAUAUAUUUUGUAAACAAUUUUGUUUAGACAAGUGAUGGGCUGACUGCAUACUAGCCAUUUAGCAUUUUUAAAAAAACUAAAAAUAUGUGAUGAAUACAAUAAACUACCUCAUUUUUUUCUGAUUGAUAGUAGUUACACGAAUGAGGCAAUGCCUGUAUAACCAUAAGAUCCUCCUUAUACAUUAAAAAACUGAAGAAGUCCACCUCAGGUGGAAACCAUAUAGGCCAAUCAACUUUGCACCGCUGACACCUGUAAUAUUAGCCACGCGACAAGUGGCCUCAUUUGACGCCAUGUAUACAUGUUACAUUUUUUAAUAUUCUAACAUAUGCAAAAGAGAAAAAGAUAUGAUUAGGACUACAAAUAGAUCCGGUCGACUCAUGACCCAAUUUGAUCCUGGCCUGAUUAGAGCCAACACAUUCUAGAUUUGAAGAUUUAUGGAUUGGAUCAGGUUCAACAAUUUGACCCAAUCUAAAUUCUGGAUAGGGUUCAGAUUUUAUAUUUUUCAACCCAAGCCUAGUUUCGGUCAAUAAAAAUGAGCUCGAUCUGGCUUGAAUCCAAUUUUGCUUGAUCCAAAAAUCCGAAUCAUAUAAGCAUCUUUCUCCUUCACUAUAGAUAUUUUUCUCAAUUCAUUGAAUAUACUCUUAUUUAAACUAAUUCUUCUUUUCAUCUUAACAACUAUAUCUCUCAUCUAUUUUCAUUUAACUAUAUUUAAUUAUUCAUUUUAUCGUUUUUUUUGGUGGAUACUUAUUUUGUAAUACCCUCAUGUGCAUGUAUGUAUGUUAUAAUUUGUAAUUUGUAAACUUAAGAAUGAUAAAUUAAUUGGAUGGAAUAAAAAUAUUUUUGGAUGAAAAUUCAAGUUUAAGUUGGCUCUUUUUAGUUUUAUUUAUUUUUUUAAUAAUUUUAUAUUUAACUGUUGAUUAUUAUAUUUUAACUAUGUAAAAAUAGCUAGAUGCUUGACUCGAAUGGCAAACCUGCCCUAUCAGGUAUAAAUUCUUUCCAUGGACCGACCUGAUUAGAUAAUGGGUUGGACCAGGUUCAAAAUCAUGACCAAAAUAAGAAAUCAAGUCGCAUCAGGGUUAAGCAUACCUUGCUCCCAUGCAACCCAUUUGCAUCCUUAGAGUAUGAUGCAGUAUAGAUGGAAACUAUACUAACAUUAUUGCACUNNNNNNNNNNNNNNNNNNNNNNNNNNNNNNNNNNNNNNNNNNNNNNNNNNNNNNNNNNNNNNNNNNNNNNNNNNNNNNNNNNNNNNNNNNNNNNNNNNNNNNNNNNNNNNNNNNNNNNNNNNNNNNNNNNNNNNNNNNNNNNNNNNNNNNNNNNNNNNNNNNNNNNNNNNNNNNNNNNNNNNNNNNNNNNNNNNNNNNNNNNNNNNNNNNNNNNNNNNNNNNNNNNNNNNNNNNNAUUGAUCCCGACAACUUAAACUGAUAAGAAAAAAAAGGUCAAUUGUAUAUAUCAGGCUUCACAUCCCUCUUAUAAUCAGUCAAAAUCAUGCACAUAGAAAACAAUAAUGACUUCAAUAACCGGGAUAAUUAAAUAAACAAUGUAUAUCAACCCUGAUGGCUCCCAUCUUACAUAUGCACAUGAAGAGAUAAUAAUGAUAUCAGCAAGCAUUAUAAUUAAAUAAACCAUACAUAUCAACCAUGAUUCUGAUUUAGAAAUAACUAAAUAAAUAAUUAGCAUGGAAGGUAUCGGAAAUCUGAACCUCCAGCAGACACGGCUUUAAGACGACGUUGAAUUUACCCAAAAGCAUAAAUAGUUAAAAAUAGGGUUAACAAUGUCUAGAGAAAUCUUUUCUGAUAUAAAAUUAUAUAAUUCAAAUUAUUUGGAGUGAAGCCCCCUGCCCAUAGGGACAAAAAGUUAAUAGAAAAAGGUGAUAAUUAGCAUAAUAUAUAGAACGAGUAGAUCUUGAUCAGAUCAAGAACAAGCGAUGCUGAAAUAGAAAAAAACCACAUCUAGCUUUUACAUGGAGCCAUCUCUCCUCCUCCUCCUCUCUUUGAAAUACUUCAAAGUAUUAACUGCUAUACAAGAAGCUGGCCGGCCCUCUACGUAGUCUCCGCCGCUGGCCGGACUAGUGACCGGGGCCUUUGGGGCUUGGCCCGGCGGCCAACUUCGCCAUCCAGCACGCCAUCGUCGACUUCGCCUUCUCGUAGACGUUCGGAUACACCAAAUAGCUCAUGCCAUCGAAGAACUCAGCCACUUGGCCCCUCCUCCUACCCUCCGGCACUUGCCUCGUGGCAGCGACUCCAUUGGAGCUCAUGGCAAUGGUGGAGACGAUAAUAAGAAUGAUGAGCAAGAGAGUUCCUGCCCUCACGGUGAAGAAGCUCAUUUGUUACUUGGACGGGGUUGGUGAACUUGGUGGUGCUGAGCUUUGGGACUCGGAAGGAACUUGGACUGGUGGUGGGAUGCCUUCAAAUGAGGUUAUAUUUAUAAGGGUCUCUUGGCGUGUUUUAGUUGGUCCUGCGUGCAUGUGUUCGAAGGGUUCCGUGUUGACUAAGAGUUGGUGGAAUUCGUCGUGCCGGUGGAAAAGGAGAUGGCUCGUCUUUUGAUGCAUGGGAGUUAGCACGAUAAUUAAGGACUAGUUUGGUUUUUAUAUAAGCUAUGGUGAAAUAAUAUUUUGAUGGCAAUGCAUGUGAGUGAUGGUCCUGCAUGCUUUGUCCUAAGUGGAAUGCUAUUUUUCUUGGACAUAGCUUAAUUGGCAUUGGUUGUUGUGACCAAAGAAUUAAUGUCCAAUUUCUACUAACGUAAACACCAUGCAAACAGUCUCAAGAUUUCGUUAGCAUACUUGUCGUUUGGAUGGAAGCAUUGGCGCGGAUCUUGAGGUCUUAGUUCACAGAUCUCAGAGCCAUUCUAUGAAAAGAAUAGAAAAAUCUCAUAAUCAUUUGCAUCGGAUCCAACUGGAUUCAAGCAAACUGCUAAUACUACUCAAAACUGCAGUUAGUUUGUGGAUCAAAUUCGAUGGCACGUUAUGAAUUACAUAUUUGUCUCAAAAUUCUUGCAUGGAUCUCCAUUGUGGGGUUUGUACAGUAAAUAGGUGGUAUUUAGAGGACAGCAUGCGAAAAUCUAUUUUGAUGAUAGAUCAAUGUCAUGGGCAUUACAGGAAAAGUUUGCUUUAUUUAUUUUUUUGUAAUAAUGUAUUUUAUUUCUUCAGAAAUCUUAUAGCUUGGAUUUUAUUAUCCCAAUUCCCAACCCUUAAAUGAUGCAAUUAGAACCCUCAAAUGCACAUAAACACAUUUACAAAUUAGAACUGGCUGUUUAUCCUUGGUUUUCGAUGAUGCUUAUAAACGUCAUUUUAGUUUAACUUCUAAUGACACUAGCGCGGUGACUAAAUUGCUGACGCUUUUUUCUAACUCGACACAUCACAGACCGAAAAAACUAUUUUUUUCUAUAGUACUAUAUAGGUCGAUAUAUUUACUGUAAUCAUGGCGAGCAGGGACAUAAUGAUGUAUUAAAGUGGAAAUGGUGGGGGAAAAAAAUAAAAGCAGAUAAUUUUCAUAAAAAUAAACUCUUCUGGUAAAAUUCCCUUGGUGCAACCCAAAUUAAAUUGCAACAGUGAAGACUGUUUCAGAUCAAGGAAUCAGAAAGGAUAUACUUAGUCUAUUCCAAGCUCAAAAGCUGACACUUUAAAAUGACCGUGGCCCUCGUAGGUCUUUGGACCGUGUGAGACUGGACUAAAUUUUGGGGUGACUACAAUGCCUUUCUGAAGUCAUGGUUGUCCACACUAGGGUUUUUUCUCUGCAACAUAUCGAAUCUAUUAGUCUAAAGGCUCGGAUUCCGGGAUUAGCUUUGCGACAAGGAUAAGCAAGCUCCAAGGUCACAAACCAACACUUUUCAUGCCGUGAUAAAAGGUUGCUGAUUGCUUAUACGUGCUCAUAAUUGAACCAAAAACAAAGUUCACCAGCUUGUUUAAAUUUUAAGUUAUUUUAGUAACCUAUAGAACGAAAAGGAUACCAUGAGAUCAAAGUUAACGCAUGUUUAGAAAUUUAAGCAAGGGCUAAAGAAAAACAAUGCAAAACUGAAAUGCUGAGAAGGUUGGUGUGAUCAAUGGCAUGUCUCAAGGGGAGUCCAUUAGAUGGAAAGCUAGAUCACUUAUGCUCCGAAGUGUCAUUAGAGACAUGCAAUACUUCAAGAAAUUGGAUGGAAAUGAGUUCCAUUUAAAGAGAAGUUAAGAUGCAAUACAAACAUGGUUGCAGUGAGAUAGUCAGAUCAUUUUCAGCUAGCAUGGACACAUGAUCUUUGACCUGCCGACCAGCCAAUUAGUUGAUAUGAUUCGUGGCAGAUGACCAUGCAGUCUUACCAGUUCUCACUGGCACAGCAAAUGCUUGUUUUGGAAUGAGGUUGUAUCUGACUGCUGCUGUCCUCCUGCUCAUCCGGACCCAAUUUGUGUCUCAGGUUUAUACAUAGGAAAGGUUUGCGUAGGUGAAAAGCUUAGCAACUCACGAGUUGCUUGAGCUUGACUCGAAUUUAUACUUGACUCGGAUCUAAGCUCAACUCGACUAUUACCGAACUCGAGUCGAACCCAAGUAGCCCGAACAAUUUUUCGAACCCAAAUCGAGUAGCAAAAUACUUACUUUGAAAGCCUGAGUAGAUAUAUUUUUGAUAAUAUUAUAUUUUACUUAAAAUAUAUAUUAUUAAUUUAAUAUUUUAAAAUAUAAUAUAUAGGCUACUUUUUGUUUGUAUGUUUUGUUUCAAUCAUAUUUUUAAUUAUGACCGAGGCUUAAAUUCAAAUUCGAACUCGAGCUAAAGUAUGGCUUGAUUGAUAUUCGUCGUCGAGUCGGUCUUCAAUAUUGUAUUUUUUUAAUUGAUUUGAGUUCGAAUUUUAAUAUAAAAGUUUGAUCGAUCUCAAGUCGAAUUUUGAGCCUGGAUAUUUUUGAAUGAUGGAAUACGGAAUAUCAAGCAUAGAAGAAUAUAUAUAAAUAGGUUCUAUGUACAGUCAUUUAGCUAUGGGCAUAGAAAACCAAGUUAUCCACAAUUUUGGCAACCAACAGAUAUUGCGAUCUUUCACUUCUCAACUUCAAUGGAGCAACAACAGGUUCCUUGAUGAUGAGUUUGAUUAAUUAAAGAGCACUAAAGCUAAGCUUCCCAGACACAGAAAAAAAAGAUAACAUUAGUACUCCUUGGCCUGUCUUCUUAACUCAUUAAGUUCCUUCUCAAUUUCCAUGUCUUUGAAAGGCAAUCCCGUGCUUGAGCUGCUAACAGUUCUACCAGAAGGGAGCUCCCCUUUCUACAAACAAAAAAUUAAAAUACAUAUUAAGGAAGAAAGCAGCUUUGCAUGACUCAUGGUUUGAGAACACCAAACUGAAACACUUGCAAGGGAAAAAUGUUACAUGUGUCAUAUAAUGUCAAAUGGGAAAAAAAAAGUUUUGAUAUAUACCAAAAAGGUGGGAACCCGCUGAAUCAUGUAAACAGAUGGUAGUAAUGCCACUCACUUGGUUAUGAAGAAAAGCUCCAAGAUUAAAAAGGGAAUACAACAGUGCACCAGAAAUAAUGAAAAUAAAUAAUUGCAGCUUUUUAAUUUGACGGAACAAAAGUAGCACAUGAUUUAGUUGGUGUCUAUUAAAUCAUCAACUGCUCACUGCUCAGGGUCACAGGCAUACUCACAAUAAAAUGGCAAAAAAUCUCAAUGCCAGAUGCAAUUUGGGAAACACAAUGAUGAUAAAAUUAAAAAAUAUUUGUUUGUGACUGCCUUACAAGCUGGAGGUUAUUAGAUGGUCUUGUACACAUAGGCAAAAACAAAUGGUGAAAUACAGGAAUUCCUUAUUUUUCUAAAAUCCACUUUUUCAUAUUGUGGAUGCACGGGAGCAUGACAAGUUUAACAUGAAUAAUUGUAGAAAUUAAUCCCAACUUACUCAUGUCAGAAUUUAGAUUAUGAAAUUACGAUGCAGUUAGAUAUCACUUUCGCUUUUCUAAUCGAAAAUAGAAAAAUAGAAAUUUUGUUCCUAUUUUACUUCUAAAUUUUUAAAAAUAUAAAUAUAUUUGAUAUAAUCAAUUACUUUAAAAACAUAAAUUUGAUGACGAUGGUUGAGGUGUUCGAAGUGGUGGCGGCAGCAACAACAAUCCCAAUGAUUUGGUGGCGACAGCUACAACAGUGGUGGGGGAACCAACAAUAUAGUGGGAGUGGCAAUGAUCGUGGUGGUGUUGCAACAGCAGCUUUGAUAACAACAUCAAUGUGGCAAAAGUAGUGGAGGUGGCGGUGGCAGCGUUUGUAGCAGUGUCGACGGUAGCGUCAGUGACAGUGGUGGAGAUGAUAGUGGCGGCAGUGGCAAGGGUGUUAGCGGAAAAGAUGAGGGUGGUAACAAUGAUGGUGGAGGUGAAGAUGGUAGUGGCGGCAAUGGUGGCGGUGAUGGCUGCGAUGGUGGAGAUGGUUUUGAUGGUGGCAGUAAAAGAUAUAAGUUUCUUGUUUUUCAAAAUAGUGAAAGUUAUAUUUUUCGACUUUCAUUUUUCUAGAAAUAAUAAAAAUAUUUUCUAAAAAUUGAAAAUAAAAAUAAUAGUGCCAAACAUGUUUUUGCCUUGAUUCCUAUGAUUUUGUUUUUAAAAGCAAAAAAUAAGAAAUACAAACGAUCCAAAGAAGCCCUAAGCGUGUAAUAGUUACAGCAAGGCAUUCAAGAUGUAUACUAUAUAUAAACAAUGUCAGUUUUGAAAUCAAGCAAUCUUCCCUCUUGAUUCCAUCUAUCAAUUUUUAUACCCAUAAUACCCCUUCUAUUUAUCUUAAAAAUACAUUAAAUAACUCAUUAGCUUUGGCAUAAUUAACUACCACAUACGCUCUUUCCACUUUCCGGAUCAGAUUGAACCUGUUACAUAAAACUUCCAAACUAACUGGAUUCGAUUUAUUUCCUUAAUUCCUUCAACUCUUAAAUCAAUCGGAUUCUUGAAUUGUCUCCUAAACUGGUUGGACUCAAUCACUUGCUCUUUCUUAUCUCUUACCUUAAACAUGUAUUGCGCGUGCACAAUUACUAGCAUGCUAUAAAUAAUAUUAACAAUUGCUCACAAUUUGCAAGGGAUAUUUAAAAAGAAAAUCUAGCAACAAGACUAACACUGUAAUAGAAAGAGUGCAACCUUGCAAUCUAGUAGUUUUUUGAGACCAAGAACAGUAUGUUUUACUUACAAAAAAAUCUUUAAAAAAUACUUCAGCAUAACAUGAUCCAAGAUAAGGAAAAUUUACCGGUGAGCUCCCUGAUAGUUCCCUUUUUAAGUUUGCAAGAUCAUCAUCCACUGACGAGUUCUCAAGCAAUGCAAACUACAAACAAGAAAAGGGUGUGUUAGAGAUAUAAAUAACUUUGAGCUGGCUUAACCAAGACUUGUACCCAGGGAAAAGAAAAAAAACUACCUUUCCUUCUAGAUCAUCACUGGUUAAUUGGCCAACAGCCUCUGCUUGGGACUCCAUAGCCAUAACUGUCAAAAGUAAAGGUCAGAUAAUUUUCUCCAAGCACACUCCAAACCUCCCUACACUGAUCAUAUAUGAGGAAGCUCCAGGCCCUCCCUGAACGCCGCUACUUAAAAGACAUGCCUUGAGAUCCUAGAUUAUCCCUCUGUACCCCUUCCACUUUUCAAUAACCCAAGGAAAUUUGGCAGUCUCAAUUUUAGCAAUACAGCAAACAUAACACCUCGAAUGGGAAGGGGAGAUCUGGAGGAACACUCAAGCCAGUAUAAAUAACCAACCUUCUAGCAUAUAGGAUUAUAUUCCUGAGAACAUGGGUGUGGCCUUUACCUUAACUCAAGCUACAUGACCUUAUUAUGACAAUCAGUGGUACAAAUUCUUAACUUUUGAUGGAAAAAUAUAUCAGUAUCAACCAAAAUAUAGGCUGCUUUCCCCAGGCAUAUUUAUUAAUCAGAAAAAGUAUGAAAGGCACUGUCGAUGAGGCCAAAUAACCAUGCAAAGAAAGAACAUGGAGUACUUUCAGCUUUUAAAAAGCCUAAUCUCUUACCUUGAUGGUAUGAAACUCAGAAACCUCGAUUUGACAGGUAAGGUGGGUUUCAACCCCCAUAUCAGAUUUGCAUGGUUUUUGUCAACCUAAUGAGCCAUGGUAAACAUAGUUUACCUUCCACUCAGGUUCAAACAUCCACUAUGAUUGCAAAUCUGCAAGAUUCUUGCUUAAUGUAUCGACUAAUUGAUUAGAUUCAGCUGUAGCUGGAGUUUUGACUUUAAAAAUCAUUUUCCCGCAGAUGAAGAGUGUUAAAUAAUUUACCAUAAGAAUUCUACUAAAAGAUCAAAGAGCUUACCUUUGUCCUCCAUCUUUUCAAAUGCUGAAAGAGCACUACUUGUAUUGACAUUUCCUAACAUUUCACUCACUUUUGUUGCAGUCCUAAGGCAAAAGAUGAAUUUUUAAGUAUCAUACCAAAUUAGAAAUAAAUAAAUUAAAUACUACCAACACGACCAGAAUAGAGAACAGACUUUGCUGACUGUGCACGAGCCUUCAAAGUAUCUUUCUUUGACCUGGCCUCCUGCAUCUUGCUCUCUAAAAGCUACACAAAACAGUAUCAGAGUAAUUAAAAUCAGAUAAUCAUCAAUAUAAUGCAUGGCCCAAAACCAGAUAUUAGAGAUACAGAACUGAAAACAGUAAUCAAAACAAUUGAAUUUUCAUGAAACAAAUUUCUUGUAGUCCUCGUCAAAAAUUUAUAUGACACAUUGCAGGUGACAACUUAUACAAUUCAAGCAUUUAAAAUUCUCUAAUAUCAAAAAUACUAAUAACUACAGCCCUAGACAACCUUCUUGGGCUUAUAGAUGAAGACCUAGCAUAAUAUUGGCACACAGCACACAUGCAUGUAAUGAUCUUGAAAUUGCUACAUCUUUUUGCCAUCUGUGUUGAUCUUCCAAGAAGAAGAAGAAGAAAAAGCAAUCUGUGCUGGACUUCAUUAUCAUGGAUAACUAAUUGUUGACACAUGGCGGCUGCACCAAUGGAUGACACUUGGCGGCCUGGGAGAGCACUGGACUAUCCUUUAAUGUAUUGUAUAGAUGGUGGGAUAUCUGAAAUAAGUGGUAUCAAAAUUCAUAUUCUAAAGUUAACCAGGAGAUAAACUAGAAACUUUGUGCACCUAAUAAGAGGAUAUUAACCAGGAGAUAAACUAGAAGACAAUGUAAUCAGAAAGGGUAGAGACAGUUCGAUUAGUUAAGUUUAAUUGAUGCAUACCACCAAUAUAACCCCAUCACAAAGUUUCCUCAAAUUCCCCCACACAGAUUUAGCUCUAGGAAGCAAUAACUAUAGUUCUUAGCCAAAUCAUCUCAUACAUGCAGACCUUAAAUACUCAUCAGAAUGUCAAAUAUAGGAAUAUUUAUCCUUGUUUUACUCUUUCCCCUCAUGGAAACAUUCAAGAUUAGCUGCUUCCAUUAAAUAAACUAUAGCAUUCAAGUUUCUGAAUAGACCACUCAACCAUAAAUUGUAAAAAUGAUGCAAAAAUAAGAGUAAAAGAGGCAAUCUUUUUGUAGUGUUCCAUUAGAUUGCACAUUCACCACAUGUCAAUAGGAGUAUGAUGCAACUGGUUCAAGGGCAUCCUAAUCACAUGGGGAGAGAGAGAGAGAGAGAGAGAGANNNNNNNNNNNNNNNNNNNNNNNNNNAUUCUCUCUGAUGUUGCCUUUGAUCCCCAGUGGUACAGAUUUGCAAAUAAAGUAAGGUGGAGCAUGUCCGAAUGUUUCAAUGAGAUAUAUCCUUCAGCUUAGCAGUGGAUAAUGCCAUAGGAAAACUGAGGCCUACCAAAAAGGAUAACGGGGAACUGAAAAGGCUAUGCAUGAAAUACAUAACUCCUGCUAAAUAAGAAGGUUACAGAAAAUACUCUAGGUCAUACUUGUUAAAGAUUAAAUUUAAUCCAUCUAAGAUUCCAAAUAUUAAAUUCAACAACAUCAUAUGAAAGCAAGGAUAAAUAAGUUUCAGGGCCAGGGUGGCGGCAGGGGGUGGAAGGCUGGUGGAGAGGUGGCAACACAGGUUUACGAGUAACAGAAUUAUGUAAUGGAUACCGUACUCACCCGAGUAUUGGAUACAAGAUUGUCAACCACACUCUUCUGUUGAUCAAGCUGAGCUUUUAAAGAGCUUGCAUUAUCCUGAAAAGAAUGAAUAAAAACAAUCAGACCCUCAAACUGCCACACAUGAAUAUCAGAAAACCAUUUAUAGAAUAACUAACUUUGUGCAUUAUUAUAUUACUCCAUUAAAAUAAAACAUAAGCACAUGCAUAUACAUAUUCUAUCGUAUACAAACCUUCCUCGGCAUACUUGAAGAUCAAAGUCUCUAAAAUCAAUGCCAUCAGAUGGAUGUUAGUUUAAAAAGAGUUGUGUAUACCUUAACCCCUACUCAUAACAUACUUUUCUACAAAACAAUAUGUCAGUGUUCCUUUUUAUAGUUAAACCAAUUGAGGCUUGCAGCCUACCUUUAUACAUGCACAGUGGAGUCAAACACAUGCAAACAUGCAAACAUAUUCAUACAUGUGCUUGUACAUACGCUGGCAUGUAAGAAAAUGAUGUAUUCCCCAAGUCAAAGAUGGAGAAGAUACGAGCUACUGUUCUUGGCCCUUGUGUUAGCAAUCUAAUACAAUCGACCAAAAACACAAAUUGACAAUCUACCAUAAUGAGGAAAUCCAACAACUGUACAGCAGAUUGAGCCGUGGAUAACGAGAAAGAGGGAAAGCUGAGAUUUUUUAGCAACGCAACAAGUAAGAUACUUUACAAAAAUUACAUGAUUAAAGGAGAAGCAUUAGAAUGCUGCCAUAUAUCAGUGAUUUAAACGUGAGUGCUACUUCAUAGUUCAUACAUUCCUACUCUUCAAAAUCUCAUUAUGGGGUUAGUCAUUAAGCCACUUAGGGGUGCCAAUGAGAAGGGUCGGGCCCAGGCUGAUUUGACCUAUUCUUGAAAUCUUAGGCAUAAGCCGGGCUGGCCCAAAAUAAGCCCGGCCCCCCGGCCUGAGGUUCUUGAUUAAAUAUGCCUAAGUCUUGAACCUGGACUCGAAAUUUUUCAGGGCAGACCUUUCGGCUACUAAGUUGAGCAUGGCCAUUGACAACCAUAGAGCCACUGUAGGCAUAUAGCAAUACAUCUCCCAAAAGGGGAUAAGUUGCACUUCAUAAAUUUCAAAAAACUUAAAACUUGACAUAUCUUAAGAUUCAACACAAGAAUUCUCACAGGCACCCUCUUAUUUCAUCCUAAACCACUUGCCUUUGCAGCAGUCGUUGCAGAAGCACCAUGCCUAGCCAGUUCUAAAAGAAAAUAAUCAAUAAUUCAAAUAUAAAUAUAUAGAAGUGAUCAAAAUGAUUUAACAAAAUUAAUAUAUUAUAGUAAUAAUCAACUUAUAAGCUUAUCUUUUCCACAGGGAUCUCGACAUGCUUGAGGAAAAAUGUGACUAUUUGGGAGACAACUGUCUGACCUAGGACUGGAACCAGGUAGACCAGUUUCAAUCAGAACAGCAAGGUACCACGUUAAACACUUCUGUUACUCUCUUUUUAUUAGCAUAACAUGAUUUUUAAUAGUGGUGAUGAAACAAUUUAAAAGCCAAACCCAUAAUCAGACUAUAAUAUUUCCAUAAUUGGCGAGAAAGCAUGAUUUCACUUUUAUAAAUCCAAAAAAUUUCUUCAUUGUGAUGAAAAAAUUUUUGAAGCUUGCAUCUUACUGCUAUCAUGAUAGUCUAGAAAACAAAACAUAUGACCAAUUCCGUGAGACAUGUUUGUAAGUUUUAAUCAUAACAAUGCUAGUAAAUGAAAAGUGGUGCACAUCAAAAUUAUAACUGACCAGAAUUUCUAGGAGAUACCUACAGCAUAAGAUUUACGCCUCUUGAGAGCCUCACGGGCAAGAUCCUCAUCUCCUUUCGCAAGAGCAAGCUGUGCCCGACGAUACCUGCAACCAGAACAAGACUUCCAGGUUUUUGGCAUGCAACAUAUUUGGUUACUGGUAUAGUAGUAGAACUCCACUUCAAAGGUAAGAUUACCAAUCAUCAGAUUGUUGCUGUGCAGCUUUGUAUUUGUUUUCCAGCCUUCUCUGAGAUGCUAUAACCUUGAACAUUUGGAGGAAGUAUGAAAAGAUUUGUUUUACAAGAUAGAAGAAGGGACUUAAAAUGUAUAAAAUAUAUGGACCUAUGUGCACAUUAACACACUCAAGUACAUACUAACAUACAAAAAUGUAUUUACAAAGAAAAGAAAGAAAUAUUGGGGCUAGAUAUCAAAUAUUUAGUGAUUUUAGUCAAUCUAAAUAGAUCUUACAUCAUCCAUCCUAAGUUUCUAAUUGGUAAAUCAUACAGCUCUAGUUUGAAUAUGCCAAUUAUUCAUAAGAGUCUUGGAUUAUUAUCAAUAUUUUGGUGUCAGAAGAUAUGUUUAGUACAAAAUUUUCAAAUAUAAGUAAAUAUGUGCACAAACAUGUAAGUUCGUGAUGACCCUUAUAAAAUUUUGAUCAUAAAACAUUAAACCAUCAAACCUUUUCUCAUCAAUUUACUUGGGCCUGAGUAAUCAAAGUUGUUUACAGACUAAAUCAACCGAUGUUUUGUAUAAUCAAGACAAGGAACGACAAUGAUUUUCAAAUAUCCAUGCUGGAUAUAUCAGAUACUUGAAUACUUAAGAACUGUGAUAGCCACUUUUAAAGAUUGGAAAAGUGUUGAACUCUUCCAACAAUGAAUUGAGUUGAACUCUUCCAACAAUGAGUUAUUCUCUAAUUUGAUAUCAGGAGUGAGUAGCUGUUAUGUUUUAAUAUUUGUUAAGCAUGUUGAUAUUGAAACAACUUUGCAAAAUAGUAUUUUGCUAAUAUACUUAAUUGGUAGCUAUGAAUGAGAUACUUGUAUACUAAAAGAUCUUAACAAAUAAUAUCUUUUUAACAUCUUCUUUUUAAUAUUCAAAUAGAUAAUAUUUAAAGGUACAAAUAUAUAAUUUAGUUAAAUUUAUAUGUCAUCCUAUGUAUCCCCAUCUCUUCUUUUUCCUCUUACCAAGUCAAACACUUGGAUAUGUCCAAAUCCAAUUCUCAUAUCUGUAGAUUCUGUACCCAUCGAACACUGCUUAAAAAUUAUAUUAAUGAUUGUAAAGUUCAAAUGCAUUUAACACACCAUAAUUGAUCAACAUGCCACAGUGCCUUCCAACAUGAACCGCUGCAAAACAUAGGUAGGUAUAUCUACUUCAACACCUUAGCCAGCCUGAUUAAAGUAACAUAUCUCGUUACUCCUCGAAAUUUUGACCAAAAUAACCUCGUGCUUUUAGCCAGCAGUAAAGUAUGUGAGAGCAUCCCUUACAUAACGAGUAAAACUUUAGAGCAAUGCUUUUUCUGCAUUUUCUCACCAUUUUCCCAAACAGUUUAUUUUGCAUUUAGUGAAUUUUUAAAGGACAAGAAUGCCAGAAUGGUUUAAGAUAUAAAACCUAAGAAGUAAUGGAGAAAUCCAGUCUCAUAAUGCUGUGCCAAAUAUCUUCUUAUACUGAUCUUUUACAAAGAGUGUGUAGCAAGAUGUACAGACUGACCAUGGAACAUAGGAAGGAUCAUCCCAUAGGACAAUAUUUGAGAGCCAAGAUUCAAGGAUGAUAGGUGGCCAAACUGUUUAUGUCAUGAUAAUGAGCUAAGGUACCGCCUAGAUAGCUGUUGGUGAGUACUAGAAAGCAGGCAUUGGGAGAAUCAACAGUGCAACUGCAAAUGUGAAAAGGGGUGAAAUUACAGGUCUGUAACGUCUGUUGUUUAGUAAAAACCAAAGGGAGCAGAGAUACAUAAAGCAUGGUGCACGUAGCAAUGAAAGCAAUCUAAUAGAAGUGGCUAAAGGCAUAAUCCAACCUCCAGGAAGCAUUAGAGUAAAAUUCGAUAGGCUGUGUUUAUAAGAGUUGACCUGAUUGUUAAAGCAGAAUAAUGGCACCAUGAACCAGUUAAUAAUGAAGUACUGUCAUCAUCAAGUCAGCUACAGACGAGUUACAGAGUAGCAACGACGCAAAACCAGUUAAUAAUGGAGAGUACUGUCAUCAUCAAGUCAGCUACAGAUGCAAAACCAAAGCAGAUUAAUGGCACCAUGAACCAGUUAAUAAUGAAGUACUGUCAUCAUCAAGUCAGCUACAGAUGCAAAACCAAAGCCAAACUAUGUCAGGAAACAGCAAACACCAAAAGCAGCAAAAUAAAUGGUAGUUGGUGGUCAUGGAGAGUAUUCCACAAGAAAGAAGCAGGCUGGAAGCAAUGAUUGGGUGAAACUUUAUAUGUAUGAAGCAAACAUGGAUGGAUUUGAAGAAUCAUGCACUGUAAUGAGGAAAGAAUUUCCAGGUAGAAGAUUUGCAACAUAUGACAUUAGAACGGAUAGAAAAUCUGAUGAUUCAGGUUAGCAGAGAUAAUCUGAUGAGGAAAUGACACGUGAAAAAAAUGAAAAGGCAAUGCAACCAUCAAGUGAUGAACCAAGAUAGACUACAAUAUUAAGACAAUCUGCAGGUUAGCAGAUGCAAAUUGAUUGUGACUCAGCUCUGCACAUGACGCAAGAAUGUCCAAGUAAAGGUUAAGACUGAGAGUACAAGACAUGAUAAAUUAUAGGCUCACUGAUAUAUGAACCAGAAAGUUCAUCAAAAAAGAUAUAUGAACCAGAAGAGAUGGUCGAUUCAAGAAACAUGGAAAAGCUUAAGUCUAAGGAAGGCCUUUGAGAUAUGAAAUUAUACGAAUGAGGCAUAUGAAAUUAUAAAUUUAUGUGUCAAACUAACUGGGGCUACAAUGAGCCAAACCCAGCAGAUCUUUGGGCUGUUUGAGCUUGACCCAGUUGUAUGAAAUGGGUGUUCCAUCUUGGCUCAAGCACAAGCCUACCUAAGCCUUGAGCUAAGGUGAAUAAUGAGUGUCUAAUCUUCACUAAAUAGUCCCUUGAACAAGAUUCUUCAUCCAAAUCAACCUUCUGCAUAAUUUUGCAGGUUGGAGGUUGUUCAGGCAUGGCUUGGACAUAAGCUGAGCCUUGACAUGCAACUUGAGUUUGCUGAUUCCUGAUAAAUGAGCUUUCUAAGAGUCAGAGCCAUUUUAUUUACAGCCCUAAACCCAACAAUCACAUAGAUUAGCCAGGCCCAGAGAAGGUUGCAAGGAAGGAAAUUCAAAAUCCAGGAAAGGAGCACCCUACUAAGUCCAAUGAGGCAAGAUAAAGAUAAGCAAAAGCAAACAAGCCAUCUCUAAUUAGUGGAGGGCAAAAUCAUCCCAUGAUGAUCCUAAAGCACAUCCUAUGAAUUAGAGAGGUAGUUGAAGCCCAUAAGCAACCAUAUGCAAACAAAAUUGAGAGAGGCCAGGUAUCAAGACUCAGUCAACCAAAAACAAUGAAAGAUGACCUCAAGUUUCUCAACUAGACUAAAAAGAGGGCAUGGAAGGUUAAGAUCAGGCCAAUAAGAUUAUUUGCUGCUGGUUACCUUGCAAACAUACCAUCUUACCCUAGAGCACGUCCUUACUUGCACCUAUAAAGCCAAGUGCGGAUAAUUGCCCAUCCCCAAAAAAGAGAAAUUCCUUCCUUGCCUGCAGGAAUGAUUUUCUCUCUACUGCAGCCAACAAAAUAUCAACGCAGAUUAUCAACCAAAUAGAGGGGAGUCCUCGCCAAUGGAUAAAUAGCAACCAACCAAGGCUUUUUUUCUUUUUCCUGGUUAUCCCACGGAGGCUACAAGAGCACCCCAUGCUAGGGCAUGAUAGGAAAGUAUAUGGAAAUUGCCUGAAGGGUAGAAUAAAGAUCCAGCAACCAAAAACACCAAAGACCAAUCAACAUGAUUGCCAAAAAAAAGAAAUGCAAAGCUCAACAAAAGGCCACUAAUUGGAUGGAGAGGGUCUUAAAUUUUAAUGAGGAGUCUCUUGGAAGAUUUGAAGCAGAGUGGAAGUUCCAUCAUGUACAGAAACUUGUAUCAAACUGGAUUGGUUCAGUUAUAAACCAAUUCAUAAGUGAGAAAAUAGCAAUAAAGGUCUUAUUAUAAAGAAAAGGAGGCCAAAAUGAACGUUGGACAUGCUACGUUAACUCUUUGGCUGUUUAAUGGCAGGGAAAUUGGGGAAGGAUUUGAUGAUGAUCUCACAUGGUAGAUCUUUGAAGCUUGUGAAAAUUAUGAUCUCAUGCUCUAGUCUAGUUACCCUAGUGUCAUGAAACUUGAAGAGAACAAGUUGGAAUGACUAAUAAUAUGAAUAGGGGAUUGAACCAAAUUUGUACAAUCAAAAAGGAUUUAAACACCUGGCUGCAAAGACCACAAUGAGGGUGCAUUUGGUACAGUAAUUACCAAGUUCUUAACAUAAAUACAAUAUAACAGGUAAUACAAUUCAUAUUGGAAUUAUAUUGCACAUGAAUGUCUCACAUCUGCGUACGAAACUUCGGGCCAUUAUACUUUCUUUAACAGGACAGAAUACAUAUGAGCAUCACACUAGACAUGCAUAUACCUUUUAUGCAUGUAUAAAACUAGAGUCCAAAGGCAACUGCAUGUCAUUUACAAGAUGUACAAGAUACAUAUCUCAAUACCUUUUUAUCCUUCUAUGCAGAAGUCAUGUGUUAGUUAGUCUGAUAAUGCAAUACUAGUAAGAGUGGACUCUUGGUUUCUUCAGUAUUAAAAGAAGAAGAAGAAGAAGUUUUCCAUCCUCAGAUAGUUAGCCUCGGCUUGGCUCCACUUGGGAAGAAGUCAAGUUCUUUCCUCGCAAUUUCGUGAACUAGUUCAGAGAUGGCCAAAAAUCUUUCAAAAAAGAGACUAUAGGAAUGACAAUGCAGCUGUGUAGGUGAAAAAAAAUUAAAUUGAUCUGCAACUUGGAACCAGAACGAUAUAUCAUCUCAGAGAAAGGGUAUGUGCUUGUUAUGGACUGCCUAAGUGCCUAUGAGAGCAAAAUACCAUCUCUACUACCAGAAAUAAACUGAUGUACCUGGGCUGUGGCCUGGCGCAUCUUUGUCAAGUCAUCAUUCAUUUCCAGCACAGCUUGUUCCAAAAUCUUUUCUGGAUCCUCCAAGGAACUCAAGAUUGAAUUUGCAUAUGACUAGAUUUUUGCAAUGAAACAGGUACACUGAAUUAUUUCUACCAGCGACAAGAAAAGAAAAAAAGCACCUGGAAUAUCACAUGGUGAUGUGACAGGGACUUCUUAAUCUUACCUUGACUACCCUAGCUAGCCGAUCAAAUAAAUUCAUCUGCGCACCAAGGGCACCGUGUUUAUGACAUUUUACUCUUUUGAUAUUGGAUGUUUGUACUCCCUUGGCUUUCAAUGCUCCCACUGUGAGGCAUAAACAUGAGGCAAGAAUUCAGAUACCACUAGCAAGCUAUAAAAUCCGAAAAAUGGAUGCAUAUGUAGCAUUAACUUGAACUAACAUACAUAAGGUAGACUAGGGUAUGUAACCCAUUUGCUGAACCUAACCAGCUCGCUUCCAGGCAUAGAACAACCUAUUCAGUAUUCGCUAAAUUGAUAAAAACAUGUCUUAGUGAGUCAAAUGUACUAUAAAUCAAUUAGAACCAAGCUCACAAGGGAUGCACAACUGAGCUGGAAAAUGAAAAUGAAAUUUUAUGCCUCAUAAAAGUUGAGACAUUGGGAUAUCCACAAUCAUUGAUCUACUAUUGAUAAUAAGGUAGCAAAUUCCCAAAAAAGAAAUGUUAAUGGAACAUGCCGGGUCCCUUUUUAAAUUUCAAACAAAGGAAUCCAUGACACUAAUAUCUAGUCAUCUUUUGAUCUUCAGACCAGUCCCAUCAACCUUGGGCCUCAAACAAAAUCAAGUUUAGUGGUGCACAAUCAUUUGCAACUAUUUCCAACUGGCCCUAGAAAUCCCUGUCGCGCAGAAUUUCAUGUGCAUGUGCAUAUGUGCACACAAGCAUGCACACAUACAUGCUUGCGUGCACGAACACAAGAGAGAGAGAGACAGAGACUUUGUUUUGAUGUACAAUAUAUCACGGCAGUAGCACUACAGUCUCUAGUACAUGAAUGAUAUCCACUUCAUUCAUCAGUUGGUAACUGAUUAUUAAUGUUAAUGCAGCCUAGGAACUGUGCAGAACAGGCAUACAUGACUGGAGAUCCGAAAGGGUAACAAUAAGGUCAGCACUACGCUUUUUUGAGCAAAUUCUCUAGCACUAUGUUCACCAUUCUUUUUUGGAGCAAAUUCAUGACCCCUGCUAUUCUCCGAAGACUAUCAAAUAAUUCGACACUAACCAAAUACAGAAAAAGAUAAGUAGUUGCUGCAGAGUCGAUUGAUAUUUCUCACAGUCCAAUAAGGUAACAGAAAUUCAAAAAGAACACAAGGCAGAAGAAAUUACCUCCACCAUUAAGAAAUGAGGUCCCGAGCAGUCGUCUAGAGACGAGAACCCUCGGCAAAGGAGAAGCCAUAGAAGACGAAGGUGAAGCUAAGCUCAACCCACUGAUGGAAGCCUUCAUCGCCAUUUUUAGCGGAAAAACAAAUUCCAACUUUUAACACAAAAUUGGAGAAGAGAUCCCCAAAAGAUGAGGCCUUUCCUCUCUAUCCCCCAUUCCCUUCUCGAUGGUGAGUGGUGACCCAUUAACCCUUCUUAUCUUUGUCCCGAUCCCGCCAACGAGAUCCUGGAGACCAUCCAAUCCAAAUCCACAAUUUCAACGGUUAUGAUCGAAAUAUUCAAACAUCAGACGGCCAAUAAUCACCCCCCACAGAAUGCCCCCUAUUUAAACCCCCUCUCUCCCAAACCCAGACAAUAAAAAUGGCGACUUUUUCUCUCCUCCGCUUCUCCCCUCUUUCCCCUCUCCAAACCCUACCAAAAUCUCGCCCCCUCCUCCCAUCUCCCACCGUCCAUAUCCCCCUCCGCCUCAAAUCGACGGCCGCGAUCCGCUCCGUCCCGAGAUCGAACACCAUCUCGGCGUCGUACCGACCGGCAGUCCCGGCGUCGGACCGACUCCUCGCCGCCCUGGCCUACUCCCUCCCUUUCCUCAACUCCCUCCACUACGCCCGAUUCCUCUUCGCCCGCUUCCCGGUCGCCGCCGCCGCCGCUGCCCCGCUGUUCCCCCUCGUCGCCGCCUACCGCGCCCUCCCCUACGCCAGCUUCGUCGCCUUCUUCGCCCUCUACCUCGGCGUCGUCCGCAACCCGGCCUUCGACCGCUUCGUCCGGUUCAACUCCAUGCAGGCCGUCGUCCUCGACGUCCUCCUCGCGCUGCCGGUGCUCGUCCAGCGGGUCGUCGGUGUGCCGUCGAGGGGCCUCGGCUUCCGCCUCCUCGAGCUCGGCUACGACGCCAUCUUCAUCUUCUCCGCUGCCUGCUUCUUUUACAGUCUCGCGAAUUGCAUCCUGGGGAGGACGCCGUAUCUGCCGCUCGUCGCCGCGGCGGCCGACCGGCAGCUUUGAGAUCUCCAUUAGAAGCAUGAUUUCUUUCUCUCUCUCUCUCUCUCUCUGUGUAAUCUUAGAAUGAAUCGAUGUCGUAGCAACACAAGGUCUUCUUGGAUCAGGAUUUUUUGGAAGUGAUUUCAGUUUAAAUCUUGUGGACGUCUCCUUCUUGUGCAGGGAUUAAGGGCUUUGGGACUUUGUUUGCAGAAUUGAAUUGAUUCCACUUAGAAAUAUGAAAACAGCAAUCCAGCGCUUGUUUCUCGAGGUUCUACCAUGUUAAGGGAUGAGAUGGGUAUAAGAUGGAAACGGGGACUUGCCCCCUUCGAGUCUUAAAUAAAUUUAAAAAAAAUAAAAAUAAAAAAGAUUAUAGAAGUAGGCUCAUUACAUUUCCAUCGUAGCAGUAGAGUUGUUGCAAAAUGGAGAACUAAUGAUGAUUGAAAUUAAACUCAUUUUUUAACAACUUGGAUGUUGAUGACUCUCCAUUAGAGAAGGUAGAAAUAUUAAGCUUGACAUCAAACAAUUGUUAUUGUAUGCUCAUUAACUUUUUUUUUAUUACCUAAAACCAAUAACGAAUGAUUGCAACGAUUGCAACUUAUCAUCACGGCUCGCCUUCCAUUGUUGCCCGAUCUUCCUCUCUUAUCUAGGGUUUUUAUGAGAUCUAAGUCAACUAGAAUGAGAUCGUAGCUAAUCUUGAUAAUGUCUCAAGUUCAUAAAGUUGCAAUAAUCCAAUCCAAAUGAUUACUUAUAGCCUUUGGUUAAAUAUAACACAUGUGAUGCACUUAUUAUUCUUUUUAAUAGAAAUAAAAUUUAUAUAGAUUAAUAAUGAAUGUUAAAAGAAGGAUUCGAACAUUUGACCUUGUGGUUAUCGGCCACAUGAGGAAAGGUGAAACACAUUGGCAGAAUGUGGGAUUCUUUUCUAAGAUAGAAGGUUGAAUUCUGUCAAAAACUCUGGCUUUGGCUUUCUUAAGAGAUGAUCGAAAUGAGUUUGACUAGAACCCAUAUCUUUGCUAUCCUUUUUGAUAUAGUAAAUAUAGAAAAAAAUAAAUUAAAUUGUUAUCUACAUAAAGUGUAUAGACUAUGAUAAAUAAAGUGUAUAGACCAUGAAACAUUUUAUUUUUCAUCUAGUCCAUGAUUUAGCUCCUAAUAGUACAAUGCUUGAAAUAGAUAAUAGAAAUUCAAAAUGAGGAGAUUUAUGCAUAAUAGCUAAUAUUUAAGUGGCCUAGAUGAUCCACUGCUACCAAUAUUUAUGAUUAAUAUAUCUCACUAUAAUAUAUGAAACCUAUGAAUAUUCGUGUCUUUGUGAUGUUCGAUCGUCUUGACAUUUUAGAAGUACUUUUCAAGAUACAUGCUUUCCUUACUAAAUGCACCUGUCUUAGUCAUACUCUAUUUUCUUUCUUAGGUGAAAGAAGAAUCAUGAAAAAUGUCUUCAAUGAAAAGGAGAGUGCAAUUGUCAAGUUGCAUAAUAUAAGUUAAAUUACAUAGGUGAUUAUGCUUAUCCAUGCUUUCUCUCAUCUACAUUUCACAUGCUAAGAUCUAGGAAAAUGAUUAUAUCACUUUCUAUCAAUGAAGAACUGCUCAAAAUGUAAAAAGUUAUUCAUCAUUAAAACUUCUAUCAAAAAUAGGUUGCAUAUCAAAAGAUUUAUAUACGCCUAAAAAUAUGGUACCACUAAGUUUGACCAUCUAAAACCUUCUAUAUUUGGCGAGCCACUAAGUUUGACAUCUAAAACCUUCUAUAUUUGGCGAGCCACUAAGUUUAACCAUCUUAAACCUUCUAUAUUUGGCGAGUCAUCACUCUCAGUGGAUUUAUUGCUAUCUCGAACCUUCUAAAUUAAUAAAAUGAUUAUAGCACAAAAACUCAAUGAUGAAUCAAGAACAAUCUAGAUUAUGUUUGAAAGUGUAUAUAAAUAGUUGUGGAUGGGAGAGUCCUCAUCCCAACUUGGAGUAACCGCUUUAUCAAUGAUAAGGUCAUGCUCCUCAAUGGGCAUGUAUAUACCCACCUCCAAUGCAUAUUAUCAAUCAUGAUAGCAUUUGGUCUCUUUCAAGCAUGUAUGAUAUCAUCCAUACCUAAUGAUGGAGCCUAACAAAUUAACCAUCGUUGAUGCCCUAUAGCUUUUUCCUAAUCUCCCAUCUAUAUCCAACCAUGCCCUCCUAGAUGGUGGAAGGACAUGUAAAGGCGCUUCUCGCAUGAUUGGAUGCACCAAACAAUCAUGGGAAGGGAACAAGGAGUGGACCCAAGAUUCUUUGUGAUGCAUGGAUUACACUCUAGAGUGUCGUACAACGCUCAAUGGCCGCCAUCAAAACAUGGAUGGCUGUCAACAAUAACCUAUUGCAAAUGGCAUGUAAGGCCGUUUUGUCUGAUAGCCAUCCAUCUCUUGAUAGCAACUAUUGAGCACUGCACGGCACUCUACGAUGCAAUCUAGGCAUUGCAGAUGAUCCAAGCUUAUAGGGGCGAGCAAUUACCACAUUAUAAGUAUGUUAUAGCAUAAGAUAAGGAAAGGUAGAUGUUUUCGGCUCAUAUGGAAUGGUGGGGUUAACUUAAGUUGGACAGUUUAUUGAGCAAUCAGUUGCGAAGAGGCAUUGGCAACCUAAACAAUUUCCUGAUUCCUUGACAGCCAAAUGAGCCAUGAAGCAUGAUCUAAUAUAGAUUUAAUUCUAGUAAUAUGCUGAGAAGUAUUAGCAGGUACUUCUCUCCAGAACAUACUGGCUUAACAAAGAGCUAAGAUGAGUCGACAUAUCUCAAGUCUCUAUUCAGUGGCAAAACAAGCGAUCUAGGGAUUCAGUAUGCUCUUGACAACACAAACAAAGUGAAGGCUGUAGCAACCACUUGAUAUUUUACUCUGGACCUGCAUCAUCUUGUUGCUAGGGAUAGGGGUUGUACCUUUCGCACAAAAGAAGGAUUCACCUUCCUUCGUGCUAAUCCACCAUUGGAUCACGCAAGAGUCACUUCGAGAUCUGUGUAGACAGUUGAACGAAGUUUGGAGUGCUUUGAGAUUUGCGCGGAGCAACAAGCCAAAGGUCGAUGUUGCAAAAGAAAUCAUUUUUUACACAAAAGAUACAACCCGUACCCCUUUGACAGAUGUAUAUCAUUUAUAAUUUUCAAUGCAGACAGAUUGGUUAACCAUAAUAACAAAGAAAAUGCCUGAAAAAGGAGAGAGAAAUUAUGUACUUUGAGGCCCAAUACCAUAUUUUGAACUAAGGAAGCCAGUCCAAUGUAUAGCAAGACAAGAGCAGGACAUGACCAAGGUUGGCAGAAAUGACAAUAGAACACUGUUGAUGCAAACAUCCAGAGCGAGACUGAUGCAUUAUAAAACUACACACAUCACAAGAUCUAUGCACUGUAGAUAUGCUAUGGCUAGUGUCCUAAUAUGAAGCGGCUUUUCUAAUGAAUUGCCUGAUAUUAUGUAAGUUUGAUCCAUCAUGAGCCUUCAGUUGAUGGCUACAAUGGUCUGCUAAUAUUAGAAUCAACAAUAUCACCAAGCAGAGGGUUCAUCACCUUGGUCCUUGGCAUCAGUUUAAUAAAAAUAACUCAAUCUUCAUACCAAGAUUUACUCUUUUGAUACCAGAUCGCGUACCGAUGCCACACUAGGAUAGUAUCAGUACUGUAUGGAUUUUUUUAACGUACCAAGUGUUGAACUAGGUAUACCAUUCAUACCAGAUACUAGUACGGAACCGAUAUGAUAUGUCUUAUACCACUUGGUUCGGGCUGGCACACCAUAUCUUAUCUUACACUAUUUGAUUUUUUUUUUCACACCAUGAUCUCGGCCUAGAUACAAACACUCCGCAUCAUUACAAGGCAAAACCUUGCUAAGUUUCAGCCCCUCCUCCUCCUCGAUUAAUUGAGGCUUUGCCUAAAAUUAUAAAGUAGUGUAUAAUUAUGUAUUUUACUAAAAGAUACAUAAAAAUUUAUUUUUGUAAAAUCCAUAGAAAAAUAAUGAAACAUGAGUUUGCAAGUUGAACAACACGAUCAGUUUUUCUGAAAGCAGGUUUUAUCAAGAGCAAGCAAGCAAGCAAGUUCAUAAAGUUGAUUUAUUUAAAAUUUUUGCAAACCUAUUUUAAUAAUAUCAACAUCAAAAAAACGAACCUAAAUUUUUCACUUUAUUUUGUUUUAAAGUUUUGAAGCAAUAGCAAAUAAGAGAGAGAAUCACACCUGAUACUAGAAUAUAAAUUAUAGAAUACAUAAGCUUGACUUCGAAAUUGCAAAAGCUUGGCUUAAUAUUUCGCCCCUAAUAUUUACAAGAUCUACAACCGUAGCCCUGGGAUUAAGACAAGCUGAGAAAAACGGCGGCGACGACUCCGACGGCGUAAACCCCCAUCACCCUCCCGACGACCUCCGCCCCCGCGUGCGUCACCAUCCCGACGCCGGCGAUCCCCGCGACACCGAUCGGGACCCUCCGGAGGACCGCCGCGCCGGCGCCGGCCAGGAUGGCGUCCUUGAAGAGCUCCGCCGCGAAGUCCCGGAACUCCGCCGAGCCCAGGGCCUCCGCUUCCGGGUCGACCCGCCGGAGCGCCGCGUCGACCUGGGCCUGUCCGGGGGGCGAGGGGACCCACCGCCUGACGAGGGGGAGGGAGGCGGAGAGCGCGGGGUGGAGGCGAGCGGCGGCGCCAGCGAGCUGGUAGGGGCGGACGCCGGGGAAGGCGUGCUGGGCGUCGGCGAUGCAGCGGUCGUAGACGGACUCGCAGGCGGCGUCGAACUCAGGCGAGGAACGGAGCGAUUUCUCCACUCGCUUCGAUACGUUGAGCCCCAUCGAGAUCGAGAAAGAAGGUUGGGUGGGGUGGGAGAUGUUGGGAAGUGUACUUCGGGAAUUAAAUAGUCGGAAUUAGAUAUCCAGGCCCGGGCGGUGAGAAGAACGAGGAACCAACCAUUGGCCCCUGGCGUCAUCUAGUGAUCUACUCAUCUGUUUGGUCUAGCUCGGGUUUCCAUAACGGCGUUAUUCAGUUAAUAAAGGAACCCCUCGAGCUUCUCUCAAUUAAACAUUUUCAACUUUCCUUUUUUUUUACCAAAUAUUACUGUAUCACCUAAAAAUUGAAGGAAGAUUCUGCCAUCUUGAUUGAUCACCUUCAGGCAGGAAGAUGGAAGGAGGAAGAGCACUCGCUUCUAUAUGACAUACGUCGGAUGCUACGAAAGUGUCGGACUAUUCAAGUUAGACACGUCCUUCGGAAGGCGAAUCAAGCAGCUAAUUGGGUAGCCUCCUAUGUUGCUCAGCAUUUCGGAGAAUUUUUAUGGAUCCAGCAAACUUCAGCUCCUUUUGUUUUUUAUAGUCUUCUUCAUAGAGAUGUAGCUGGUUGUGCGCAUUUUAAAAAACCGACCCUCCAAAAAAAAAAAAUUGGCCCACCAAAAAGCUCUGCCAAAAGCCGUAAAGGCUCAGAUUAAUCGCCCGUGGAUAACGCCGUAAAAGCUGUAUAUAUCUCCUUCAUUGCCGUCCAUUCUGCUUCGCUCUGAUGGGUUCCCUCGGGCUCCGCUUCCCCUCUCCAUCUCUCCGAAUUUUUUCUCCUAAAAAGCCGAAGGCGCCGCUUUCUGGGAUAAUCCGAUGCGGGCUGAGAGGCGGGCCGAGGAAGCCGCUGUGGCGGGGGCGGGUGCUGUCCACGGAGGCCAUCCACGCCGUCCAUGCCCUCAAGCUCGCCAAAUCCUCGCCAAAACCCAAACCCUCCUCCUCGCCCAAUACCAAACCUAAUAAUAGAAUGGAGGAGGUCUUCCGCGAUAAGCUCGGCCGGCUCCUGAAGGCGGACCAAAUCGCCGUGCUCGCCGAGCUCCGCCGCCAGAACGAAUGGGAGAUGGCCCUCCAGGUUUGCCUCUUCUUCUUCGUUCCUAGCUUUAAAUCGAUGCAUUCGUUUUUAAGCAGAAUUUUGUGGUUACUAAUUUGGCCGGAGAAGAAAAGAAUGGAUAUUAGCAAUCCAAUCAUCCGUGUUGGAAGCUACCUGCUACAAUUGAUGAUGAUUAAUUUGGGACUGUCGGUCAAAUAUAAAUUUGACUGAGGAGACCAUUUUCUUUUACGCGCGCGCGCGCACAAAAAAAAAAGAAUCAUAAUGCUUAAAUAAAAAGUUCAAUUGGUUAAGGUCUUGGUGAGUUGGUGGUGUCGAUUUUGAAGGUGGAUUCAUUGUCCUCUUCUGGUUUUCUGGCCAUGUAGUGUGGUGCAUGAUUUAUGUCCCCCUAGAUUUGUAAUGCCAUAAUAUUUGAUAUCCGGUUGCUGCUUUGUCAUGCCCUGUACAUGAAGUUAUCGUGUUUGAUUAAAUGUUUAUGAGAAAUUGGUCAUCUGUGCUGAUAGUUUGUCUUGAUAUGAAAGAUGCAAUUCUUCUAGGUUUCUAACAGGAUUUGGGUCAAACAAAAAGUGGAAGUUUGAUUCCUUCGGCCGAUUCCAUAAUUCCUGUCAAACUUGAGUAUCCAUGUCCUAUGAGACUAUGCUCUUUGUGUGUGCAUAUAUGGCUUGUACAUGCACACAUGCAUACAUACGCAUGUAUGCUUGCAGAUGUUUUAUCCUGCCGAUGGAAGAUGACCUCGAGCUUGUGGCCCACAUGUGGAAAGUUUGUACUUGGUCUCCCACUUCCACCCCUGAAGCCUAGCUUCUCUUAGCAUGGAAGUAAUGGAAUUACUUAAUAACUUAACACCUUUAUGAGGGUUCUAGCCUCUAGUUUCUUGAUAUAAGGACUUGGCUACAUGUGGAUGUAUGCAAAUAGUGUUGUCCUCUGGAUGGAUGUCCUAUCAUAAUUGCACAUGUCAACGCCAAUAAAUGUUUGUAAAACAUUCAGAAACAAUGUUUCAAACCAUGAUCAGAAGAAACAUAUAAUUUUAUACGGUAGGAACAAGUAGGAAAGAAAAGACGCCUAAAAAUUGCAGACAAAUGGGUAGAUUGUUGCAGAGGAUGUUAAAUAGCUUACUAACUUGCCGUUUUCAUCAAGAGAAUCCAGAGUAUCCUUGUUUAUCUUCAACUGUACGAGGGACAAGUUUUGUAGAAGAAAAAGGGACAAAGGAUCAUCUCAUGAAUUAAGAACUAAUCAUCCAUGCACUCAAAUGCUAUGUGAGACUGUUUUGAGUGUGCUGUCCUUUUGAUGUAUUUAAAAUCAUCCUUAAUUGCCUGAUUUUUCUAUGUUAUUAUUGUCCUAUUCAUUUUUUUUUCAUUUAUCUGAUAAAGAAUCAGGGUUUUAGGUGUUUGCAUUUAUUCGAAAGGAGGUGUGGUAUAAACCAGAUCUAUCUCUCUACAGUGAUAUGAUUUUCAUGGUGGGAAAGAACAAGCUGAUUGAAAUUGCUGAGCAGCUUUUUUCUGAAUUAAAGAAAGAGGGCUUGCAACCUGAUACCAGGACCUAUACUGAAAUGAUAGGAGCCUUUCUGCAAGUUGGUAUGGUGGAGAAGGCAAUGGAUAUGUACAAGUUGAUGAAGGAGUCAGGCUGCAAUCCAGAUAAGUUGACCUUAACCAUUUUAAUCAGGAAUCUUGAAAAAGCUGGAGAGAAAGAUCUUGCCUCUGCUGUAAGGAAGGAAUGUGCGGAGUAUAUGGACUUCCCGGAGAAAUUUCUUGAAGAAGUUGACAAAAAAUUUGUGAGUAUCCUGCUUGGCAAAUUGCAAAUCUUUUUAUUCUGUAUCUUGUGCUCUCUUUUUUUAUUGUUUUAGCUCUAUGUUGUUUCUGUUGUUGACACUAUUUGAGGAGUCAUUUCACAGCAAUAUGAUUGCCCAAGGACAGUGAAAGGAAGAUUUUACACAUAAAAACAUACCAACACAUAAUUGCAUGGGAAUAUCCUGCAUUUGACAUGUAAAAAUGGAGAACAGAAACCUCUAAGACCAUCAGUAAGGGAAAACUUAUGAUAUGGGUGAAAACUCUGUUAUUUGAGUAUUGUUCUACAUUCUGAAACUGAAAAUGAGCUUUUAUAUCUAUUGGAAGAACAUUUUGAGUAGAGGUAGCUAUGACAGACAAGUUAUUGAAGAUAUCUCUUAAAAAUAAAAACAAAAAAGAGGAAAAAAAAUGUCAACCUGAAAACCAGCUGUUUCUCCUUUGGGAUUUUCUUUUAGUCUGCUAAACUGCAGAACAUAUUUCAUCUCAUCUCAAAAAAAAAAAAGAAGAGAAAAGUCUUUUCAUCUCCAUACAUUCCGGUCCAUGAUAACUUUUUUAUUAAAAGCUUAAGUAUAGAUAUGUUUCUUUUGAAAAUGAAAAGAGAAUGAUGUUUUUGACUCUAAAAUUGCAAUGAUUUUAUCAUUUCUCAUUUUAGUAGCUUUUAACUUAGCUUACUCAUUGCACAAUUAUUUAGAUAUAUUCAUCAAGUUUGGUUAGGAUGGCUGUUGAUCUGAACCUCAAACAGUAAACCUUGUUUUGCUAAUUUUAGCAUGAACUAGUUUAGUCAAUGAAUUUGAGAAUAGGGGAUGUUGCACAGGUAAGAUUCCAAGUUACUAGUAGGACAUUUUGACUUUGAAAUGUCUUGGUUUUUUUCUCAAAAUUGAGUUUGUUAAUACAAAGUAUUUUUCAAGAAUCAAUUGAACAGAAUUCAGCUUAUCACUGCUUCAGCUAAGGAGUUAAUUGCAACAGCAAUUAAUUGUCGGCAUCUCACCUCUUUGUUAGUGAGAUAGUAGACAAGCAAUUUUUUAAAAGUAAUCACCUUAAGAUCUUUUUACAUAAAAUAUUCUUGAUAUUUCAUUUUUGGAAAAAUAUUCCCGAUCCAUUACAAGUCAAAACCAUUCAAAAUUUACAACCUCCUCCCCUCAAAAAGAAAAGAAAGAAAGACAAAAAAAAUCAAUGAUAGAAUAUGAAAAAAGUUAACCCAAAAUUUCAAAAUUCAUGUUCCCAUGUAACCGAAGAGAAACUGCAAGUAUAAUAAGACAUAUUUAUAACGACUAGUUAUAAUGCGCUUGCUUAACGUGUAUAAAGAAAAAUUUAGUUAUUUGAUAUAUUUAAAAAAAAUAAAAGGGAUUACCUCUGAUCAUUCCUUAUUAAAUUAUUUAAAUUUUGCUUUUAGUCUAGAUUAGUUUAAGUUAUACUAUGCCCGGCAUCACUAAUUAUUUGAACCUGGAGGAUAUGAGACUUAUGGAACCUACAAUCAUGGACUAAUAUCCCUACAAGAGUUUCUCCUUCAGCUUCUUUCUGAUACUUUAGCAAUCUUAGAAUCCCUUUUUUAUAUAAUAGUUUAGUUGCAGUGUUCUAAGGUUAUAAUGGAAAUUAAAAUGUUGGGAAAUAUAGUUGCUUUUAUAUAGUGUCGGGAUAGCAACUUUUUCUUAGCCCAACCUAUGCCAAUAUGACUCUUGGACGCUACUCUCGUGCAAAAAAUUAAUGCCUAAACAACAGGGAUCCUAAUGACACUUGAACUCAUACUAAAAGUGGAAAACAAAGGAGUGACAAAGUUCAUAUAUUGGGAGAAAUUUUCUAUGCAAAAGGAUUUCUAUGUGAUGCAGUCUCUAUAUUCUUCCGAGCCAUCCUAAGAUUACUGCAAUUUUGCAAUUUUUAUUGCAACAAAUGUCCAGUACAACAUCCAAAUAAAGAGGUUGGAUGCUAGCAAGCAAUUUAUAAUAUGUAUGCUAUAGAAUUACACAGCAGCGCACCAUGCUACCAUGCUUGAUGCUGAAUGAAAUGGUACAACUAUUACACUAAAAUGCUAGCUCAGACGAAAAAUUUGGAGGGUAGAACUACAUUGAUAGUGAGUCACAAAAAUUUUGAUGUUAUGGUAACUCAGAUUCACAAGACAAUUGCUUGUCAUGCCAUGCAGAAAGGCAAAUUGAUUUCUCCUUGCUUUGCCUAGUCUACUAAGAUCCCAUCAUAAAAUAACUUUUUUUUUUAUGCAUAUCCUUGAACUAAGAUGGCAUCUAGAAUUUUGAGUUGGAUGCUUUUGAUAUCAAAUUGUCGGUCUCAAUGUUUUAAAAGAAAAUGCAAAAAUGAAAUACCUAUACUUUCCCUCGAAUCAAGCCCGACAUUUGAGUGUACUAUACUAUUAUGUAAUGCCCUAAUCAGUAUCGCGGUUGUUAUGUGUUUAGUCUUACACUGCAAUAUAGAGCUAUAUAUGUGAAUACGUGACAAGAUUCGCCUAUAAUUAUGUUACUUAUAGAUGAAAGUCGCAGACUAGAACCACUAAACGGUCUUAUAACACUUUUAAAUGGAUUUGAUAAUUUCUUCUUACAUAUUGUAAUGCUGUUAUUGUAGUGGCCGUUCUAAGCCAUCAAUAAUGGCUUAUAACAGAGAUAUGACCCUCUUAUUAUUAGCUUAUUUCAAGAAUGUUUAGCAUAAGAUAAGGAGAUAGGGCUCAAGAAGGUACUGUUGAACAUAGGUGAAGUGCUUGAAUUAGUUCUAGUUUGUUAAACAAAAAUAGAUUGAAGAUGAUAUUGUUAACAAUAUACCUCUGUAGUUAGAUUUUUCACUUAUGUGAUGCAUUAGCAUUUUUCUAUUUCCCUUCUGCAGCCAAAAAGGAGGUCACUCGAACUUGUUUGAAUUACAUGAGAUCAUUGCCCAUGAAAGCUGAUACAGUCCUCUUGCAAGGACAUAAACUUGGUUCACCAUUUGAGGGGCACAUCAGAAGUUAUGUCAAUGGCAUGGGUGUGGCUAUCUUGAGGUGCCCGCUAAGCUCAAAGCAUGAGAUGGAUAUAUCUGGAGCUUGGGCCACAUCUGCAACUUCUCGUGAGUUUCUCAAUUCCAUCAAAGGAGUAUAACUCUGCAAUCAUCAGGCAACAGAUAUUGUUCAUCUUUGUAGCAUGGAGUUAAAAGCAGUAGCAUGUACAUUUCUGAUUCAAAAAUCCCUGAAGUUAUUCAUGACGAUGGCUUGACUGAUUCACUUAGAACUUUCUCAUUAAAUAACUAAAUCUAUUUCGGUUGCUUGUUUCUCUUGUGUUGAGUUAAUUAAGUCCAAUCAUUUCUUAGUGAAUAGACAUUAUUUCUGUAGUCAUCUUAAUGCAGUUCAGACUGGUUGUUCUUAUCCAUGGUUUGGAAACUCGAGAAAGUGCCAUAUUGAGGACCACUGCCCAUGGACUGGGGACGUUGAUCCCUAGAGAACUUGGAGACAGGAAUUGACUUUUCCUUUGACAAUUUUGUUGGUUCGUGCUUUACAUAAUCCUAUCGUAUAGGAAGUAAUCAUACCUUUUCCCAUGUCUCUUGUUUACUUUGAUGCAGAUUUUUGAAGUGCAACCACAUUGAUAGCACCAAACAAUGUACAAGUAGGAUGAUUACUGAUAAAUAGUAGGUGCCUUAGAGUUCUAUUAUGCAUUCCAGAUCUGUGGGUUAGCAAAUCAGCUCCUAGGAGGAAAAUUUCUCAAUUUGUAAUGGAGUGCAGAAAUAAUUUAUUUGAUUAGAUCUAAUCAAAAACUGAAAAUGUUUUAUUUUCACAGGUAUCUAUGGCUUCUGAUGCCCUAAGAUUUUCACCAUUGAUUAUCCUUGAUAAUGGUGUUAUGUUGGUUUGUUGUGGGAGGGGGAGGGGGGUUGGUGUGUAAAGGAGAACCUUCAAAAUAGGAACAAACAUUUCUCUAGGGUCCCCAAAUUCUACCAUUCCCACAUUUUAUUCCCACUUGGUUAUUAAGAAUACCCAAAAAUCCUUUCAUCAGUCCAAAAGAAAGCAAGAAUUGCCUUUUCUUUGAAAUAAUGACCAGCAUAUGCAUGCUAUACUUGAUAAUGAUAUUAUGGGGAUAAACACAGUUAUUGCCACUUCAUUUUUUUGAAUUAUCCUUGCUUAAUGCACUUUAUUUGGGAACUGGUUGUACCCAUGGAAGAUACCAAGUUGUCCCCAGUUGCUUAUCCUACUUCCGAAAACUAGGCCUGAAGUUUUUAGUAUUUGCUUAUCCAGAUUUGACCUGAAUUAAACAUCAAAUCUCAACUCGGUUGUCUCUUGGUUUAAAUCAAAACUAUAUGCCUUUUAUUGGCCCUGUGGAUUAGUCAGCAAAUCAGCAUCGAACCUACUUCCAGUCCCAAGUGACAAUGAGCUUUUGCAUGUUGAGUGCAUUAUACUGAGAAACUUGGCAUCCUGUUGCAGAUCCAUGACUUACCUUUUUAUGUGUACAUACCACGUAGCAUUGCAUAAUACAUCUAAAAACUACAAAUACAGCUCAGUUCAUUUCCGUAAAGCAUAGUAAACUGCAUUUAAAAGUAAUCUAAUACAAAUAUCCCUCUCACAUAUCAGAUCAUAGAUUUUUUUUUCUUUUUUUUUUAGUGAAAUGUCAUUCUAAAAUAUCAUUCGCCUCAACAUAAAGGGCACAGACUAUCUGCCAAAAUUUUAAGCGACUGCAAUCCUACCUCAUUUAUAGGUUACAAAUAUCAAAUCCCUCAGCCACACCCUAUAUGAGCACCAAAAGACAACAUUAGCAGUAGCUGCUUCUCAAUAAGCAAGCACAUUUUCUUAGCCAUCUCCAACUGUUACUUCCUGAUCACUGAAAUGAAUACCAAGCCAGGGUCUUCACUAUGUUGGGAGAUGACAAUGAAACUGUCUGCUAAAUUUCCACCUCGCUGAUCUCCAAAAGAGAGGCUUACUAGUCUUGUUAUGCACCUAAAUAAAGUUUAGAUUCAGGUUAAAUAGCAGGCUUAAAUCUUUUUCUAGUCCUUGAUUAGCUCAAACCUAUAUACCUGCUAAAAUGAGCAAGCAGAUAACAAAUAUAGUUUACCAAACAAAGGAAAAGUUGCUUGCUUACAAAAACCCCCUGAAAUUCAUUAAAAGUACUACAAAAUAAUGUUGGAAAUUCAUAUGCUGACAUUUACAGAUUCUGUCACAUAGCAAAUACAUGUAUAAGAUUACAAAUGACAACUCAACCUUCCUCCGCUGUUGGAAAAUAAUAUAAAGGAAAAUGAUUUAACUGCAGAGAAAAGAAUGGAUAAAAGAAAAAUAAACUAGGGAACUAAAAUUAGCUUGCCUAGCUUGCAAGGUGUCUAGGAGAGUUGUUGAACAUCACGUGCCACAUGUAUGCUCUUGAUAGAACCAUUUCCAGCUCAUGGUGGGUCCAAUUCUGCGUUGGAAGAUGUUGGAGGAACAUGACCAUCUCCUGGAAAUCAAGCUUUAGGAGCUCAUCUGACCACUGUAACAGGAUGAUAGCACAUUGAAAAAUUUCUUGGUGGAUACAGGAAAUAUAUAAUUGUUAACGCAAGCAGCUGAGCACAGAUGUCAGAUAGUACUUGCAUGUGUGAUACUCAUUUAUAGGUUAAGCUAACAUCAGAAGCAAAUGAAGCCUCUGGAUUAGUUACGUAUGAUAAACCAAAAUAUUCAAUACGAGAACUAAUUGAACGGCAAUAUGCUUCUUUACCAACAAAAUAAGACUCUAAAGGCCUGCUUGGAUAUUCCUACAAAACUGGGCUAAAAAUUCUAUAGAAUUUGUGGAUUGGGCCGUCCAUUAAGCAUAGCCCUGUAUCAACCGAACACCACCCAGCCCAAAUCCUGUGAGAAGAAAAUAAAGACCUCCAUGGUUUUUUGUUUCCCCUUCAUGUAGCCCAAAGGCUAAGACCUGGGUUUGGACAAGCUCUUAGAUGAGCCAACAAGCCCAAUUCCUACAGAAUGCCUAAUCCUGUAGGAAUAUCCAAACAUGUCCUAAGAUAAUAUGUAGAGAAUGAAGAAUAGAUAUUGCAUGUUACAAGACCCCAGUGCUUCAAGGGUGCCUGAUUGGGGAUUUUAAGAUAGAAAUACUAUUAUUUCUCCCUUGGAGUAAGCCUAUCAAUCUUUCAAAGAAUUUAUGAAAUCAUAGCUAGGUAUGAACCAUAUAUGUGAUUGCAAUCUAGCUAUAAGAUGAGGAAGAAAGGAGAACUCUUCAUCAUUAACACCGACAAAAAUUGGUAGAGACAGGUAAAUAUUAUUAACUUUCCAAAAAGGCAGGUUUUGCUGGCAUUAACAUCACCUGUCAGGAAAUCUCUGAUCAUUGUAAUCUCAUUUUUGCAAAUUCUUUUCACAUUUCUGAUUAUGAGUUUGAGAGAUUAAUCCUAGACAAAUUUACAACCUUAAAGCUCUUAUCUUGGUUGCAAUACUCACAAAUUUUUUCUCCAACCACACAGUAUAGAAGUUUCUGGAUCAUAACCCCAUAAUCUAAAUUGUUCCUCUAUAAUAGUGUUCUAGACAUUUGCUUUGAUUGUCCAGUCAGAACUGCCAGCAAGCAAAUAGAAAACAACCCUCAUUAAAUUUCCAAAAACCUGUAACCCAGCCCAAAACCAGAUCUGAGCAUGCAAUACCGACAAAGAAAUCUUAUCUGAUAUCUUCUACAUUUUCAAUGGGCAUCUCAAAAUGAAUGUUCUGUUUUCAGCAUUCUAACACAAAAUACUAGUGAAUAAAAGGAUUUGGAUGUUCGAAUCAUUCACUUGCUGGUGCUCAGGGUUUAACACCAAUGUCCCAUGUUAAUCUCCUUAAAUAUCAAGAAAGAAGGUCCUGGACUUGUCUGCCAGCUGGUUAAUUGGCUUAAAACAAUAACAUGACUGGAUUUUUCACCUCAACGUGAAGCAUAUCUGAAUCAAAUCUAUCAAAUCUGAACCUACUCGGACUGCCACUAAGUUGACAUGACAGAUUGGCCUCCAUCUGAUCCUAGGAUAUUAUAUGUUGUGAUGUGUUAAGAGGCCAAUACAGGCUGACACGAGCUGCCGGUUGCCACAUAUCUCUCAUGCCUCGGGCCACCUCUUCAAAGGAAGAAAGAGAUGCCUUGAAAGUAAAAGAAGAUGAUGAAAGAAAGGGGUAUGAUGUGUGGAAAUGAAUGUUUUUAUCAUGGCAUGUGAUAUUCCAAGCAGAUUCAAAAGCAAUGUUCCGAGACUUGUUGGGGUAAAACAGGUUUACCCACCCAAACCAACACCCACUAUAUGCCUAAAAACCCUUUUGAAUUGCUGACCCAAGCAGUUCAGCUGUUCAAAACAGAUGGGCCAGCAGCCUGAAUGACCCUCAUGUCACUGUUGUGAUAAGAUCGGCACAAUCCCAAAAUUUGCUCUUUUCAAAAGCUAAACCCUGGGCUCUAUUGUUCUUCGACUUUUUAGCAUCCAAUGGCUCAAGCAUUACCAUCAGAUGCUUGGAGGAGGGGCGAUAAGCAGGAGGUCCAUACUAGGAUGAGGAUGGAUGGGGAGGUUGUGGGGAAGGGUUUCUGGUUUACUUGUCUAUGACAUUGAGAUGAUAGUUGGCUACUGAAUGAAAGGUCUAGGCCUCAUUAGAGUGGGAAAGGGGGAGGGGAGCGUGUUGCCAUAUUUUGUUGGCUAGAGCCCAGUCCUGUUGGAGUUUGGAAGAUAACCAAUUUAAUGACAACUGGGGAGAACCUAUUCUUCUUCCUUUUCUUCUCAUCCUUAACCAGACUGCAUACUUUUUUUAUCUCAUCCUUGAUUAGAUCCAGGCCCUUGUUCAGAGAGAGAAGGGGGAGGAGGGAGGGAGGAGGUGUGGUAGCUUCAAGCCUUCAAAUUUUCAAGAGUGAAAAUGGUAAGAUCAAAAAGGAGGGGGAAUAAUUGGCCAGUUGAGUCACGAUUGAUCAUAGGUUGAACUAGGAAACCAUGACUCGGCUACUCCAGCAGUUUGAUCUAGGUCACCAGGUCCAAAACACUACUCAAGAGAAACAUAUAGAGAAAUUAGUGGAUCUCUAAUUAAAGACAAUGAGAGUCUUUUUCUCUCUUGAAUUCAAUAUGUUGUAGUUUCUUGGCUAAAAGCCUAGAAAACAUAUUCAAUAAGAUUCCAAAAUUCUCUAUCGUAGUAGGCAGGUUCCAUUGCCCCAGAUCCAAAAGAUAUUUGUGGUGGCUUUAUUGGAUCGCCUAAAUUUAAGGAGCUAAAUGUGGAUUUUCAUAAUCAGUGAAGAGCUUCAAACAUGGGUUGCUACAAGAUUUUAGCAAAAGACAACUAUUUUCAUGGUUUAGCUUGAUAUUUCUGAAAAUGCUACAAGCACUUUUAUCCAGAUUUUACUGAUCAGGAUGUAUGCAUUUUUACGGAAAAUAUUACACCCAAGGCUUGGGACAUGUGAGCCUAAUUAACAAGGAGCCAUCUGAUGCUUCGAUAUAUGAUUGACUUUAACUGAAUGCUCCCAUAUACAAUUGAGUUUAUACUCACUUAUUUGAUUUUGAAUUAAUUCAAUGGACAAGGUAUUGCUAAAAUAUGUUAUUGAUAGUUAGAAUUUGGCCAUAUAUACAUAUUGCCACUUAAUGCAUGUUAAUACGAUAAUAAGUUGGUCAUGAUGUACCAGGAAUGAGCUCCAUAUGCACAUUACCAAAUGGGCUACGGUCAUUAACACUAAUUAAUGGCAUCAUGUUGCUAAAAAUCUCAACCGGUACCAGACCAUAUAUAGUAUUAGGUCGAAAAAGCUACUUCUUUGUUCCGUUGGAGUAGGGCAACCUGCAAACUAUAAUUGAGAUGAUAUCGCUAGAGAGUUGGAUGGGCAACCUGCAAACCCACCACACCACCAACCUGAGAUAAGCUGGUCCCGGUUUAGCAUAAACAGAUUCUUGUUGUAAAUGCAUCGACUCAACUAAUUAGGUUUAGGUUAAGAAUCUUGACAUGUCUAACCCAAUUUGAUUUCUUUUAUAACUGCAUAAGGUCAGCAAGGUUACAAGCAGAUGCAUUUAAGACCCACUUUAAAUAUUUUCUUUCAUGGAUUAAUACAUGUGUCAGAUCAUGUUAAGAGGUCAUCCUAGAUCAAUCCUGACUCAACUUAUUUAUUAAAUGGGUUACAUGUGUUGAUUGUGUUACCUCUUUAAUAACUGCGGUGGUUUUUUUUUUUUGACCUAUUUAAUAAAUCAAUCGGAAUCGAGUUGAUGGGCUUUUCCUAAUACCUAUGCCUCAACAUGACCCGAAUAUGAUUAAACCCAACCAAUUGCCACCCCUAAAACCAAUCAGACUUGGAUCAGUUGCCACCCUUAACCAUCACUUUCCUUGAACUUUGUUUGCUUUAGACAAACAUUGCUAUUGGACUAUAAUAUCUAAUACAAGGCAUAUAUCAAUUCUCUAGAACGCAAGUCAGUUAAGUUGCAUUAGGUUUCUAGAAAUUUUAAGGAAUCUAUCACUGUCCUUGAUCACUGUUUUUCUAUAUGUCAAUCGCAAAUGUCCCAAGAAGAAAUGUUAUUCAUGGAGUUGUAGCAUCAAUAGCUUAAUCUACUUGUCUGAAAGAGAUCUUCAACAUGAUCCAGUUGAUAGAGUUUCUUGACUUGACCAAGUUUUUCCAUUUUCCAUCAAUACCUUCUGCAGUUUGAUGCCACAAUAUCAAUGCCUGUAUCGUUAGGGGAUAAUAGGAGGGCAUUACUAUUGCUGCUUCAUGGAACCCUAGGAAAUGGAGCAAGUAAUGAGUUGAAGAUUCUCUAGAAACAAAUGAAUUUUAUGCUUCAUCUAUUAGAAAUUAAAAUUUUGGAUAGUCAUUGAUCAAGAAACAGGGAACAAAUGCAUAAAGCAGGAAAAAAGCACUGCAAUUUGUUGAGGUAACUGGUUUCUGGGUGGCUAUUUUGAAAGUGAAAAAUCGGGCAUGAAAUUGUGUUGCAGUGCCAUUGUUAAUGAAGAGCCAACUAUCAAGAAUAGCAAUAAUCCUAAGGGAUUCACAUCAAAUGUUUGUUUGCAAUUCUACAUGGUCAUGUUCAGUUCUUAGACUGUGUUCAGUUUGGAGACAUAAGUUCAACCUUCAUCGUAUGUUCACCCUAAAAUUGGAAUGUCAACUUUGCAAUCAUCAAUAUUGAAAUCAUCUAUGUUUUGAAACCAUAUUACCAUGGAGGCUAGAAAUACAAAGCUUAUGAUAACAUUUUCCAAGGUCAAAUAUAUGAUUAGAUCAAUAGGCAAAAAUGUGUUCCAAGUAAUAAGGCAGGAAUCAGGAAUCCUCCUAAAGUACAAAAACUAAGAACCGGAGAUUUAUCAUUGAUAACUAUAAACAUUACCAACAAGCCUUAUCCCAUCUAUUGAGUCUACUGUCAAUAUUGAUCAAAUUACAAAUUAAGGAUACUGCAUUUUUUUUUAAAAAAAAAGAGAUACGAAAAUAGCAAUUACAAGUUGUUGGAGUUCUAAAUUUCCAGGUAUAUGAUUAAUAAGUUUAUUUCAGGCAGGCAGUUUUCAAGGCUUGGAACAGAAAUCAAGUGAAGACCAGUAAACUCACCGUCAACAAAAGGCUAGCACAUAUAUACACAAGAAAAUCUGGCAGUGCAUCUCCUUCCGCAAGAUAAGUAUCCCAUAAACGUGUAACUAGGUGGAAUGGGAUCUGCAAAUUUUCGAAUUAUGAUACUUUAGAUUAGUUUUCCUAAUUAGAAUCCCAAUCAUACAUUAGUUAAGAAUCAGCGAAAAGCUUACCUCACGUAUAAGGAGACAGUUCAACCAGCGAAAAGCAAACUGAAGAAACUCCAGCCCUUCCUCCUCCAUGUGCCUUGAAACUCGUUCUAUACAGGCCCAAAAUUAAGUCAAAGGUCAAUGAUUGGAAUUAUGUUUAUAUGUGGAACUCAGAAAUUGUUACUAUCUGAAGUAACAAGUAACACUGGAUACAAAAAUACCAGGUGACUGACUUGGUCAAGAAGUUGGUAUAGGCAAAAUAAAAUUUUGAAUAGUAUAAAGUUUUUCUCAGGUAAAUGUAAGUUUCAGGCACCCUUUAAAUUUAAAUUAAUAGAAUAUAUCUAGUAUUUGGAUCUUUGUUUGAAUGCUGUGCACAUUAUUUGGAAUUCCUACAUAUUGAGAUACUUGCACUGAACAACUUGCAGCAAAGGUUGAAACAUGGCACUAAGCCAAAUAACUAUAUACGAGUAGUGAUUCCAAACUUGUGAAAAAGCAUAGGACAAAUUUUUUUGGAAAAGAAAAGACAAAGAAGCGGAUAUCUUAUGAAAAUGGAAGUACCAUCAAUCCGGUGAACUAGCUCUUUCAGUUUGAAAAUAAGGCGCUGAAUUCCUGGUUGAGCAAAUGUGUAAUGGUCUUGCAUACUAUCAAGCAAUUUGGAGAGACACCAAUAGCAGUCAGCUUCCACAUUAGAGAUUUUCUGAGGUGAGAGAUCCGAAACAGACCAACUCUCCAUGCCACCAUCUAGAUGUUCUGACAAGAACACCAUAAGAAAUGGUGUAACAAGAUCAUUAAUUCCUUGAACAUAUCCACUUGCUGGAUGACGAAUGGCCCUGGAAACAUUUUUUGAAGGCAACAUUCAUGAAGAAAAUAAAACUGAACUUAGGGCGAAAGCUCAUAAAAAAUGUAUUUUGAAACAAGAGGAGUGAGUGAAAUGGCAAAGCAAGACCAUCAUUCCCUACAAAAUCAACUAGCUUUGCCAUCAAAAUCCCUCCAGAAAGAUCAGAGACAUCAUGAUCUUCCAAAAACAUUUGAAGUUUUAGAUUUGUAAAAAUUAACUGCACUCCCCAAUCCAUUGCAUCGAGGCACACUAAUCUAUCAACUACAUUAGUUUCUUGAAACCUAACAUCAGGUUAGAGCAAAAUCAUGAUUUUUGAUCUGUGAAAAUUGUCCAUCCUAAAUCAAUGGCCAUAUACCAUUGUUGAAAACCGUUUGCUUGAGUUAACAAAAAAAUGUUAAUUGACAUGAAUCACCAAUCAUUGAUUUAAGUAGACAGUAAGAAAAUAAGAAAGAUACAACCUCUAAGGUAACAAGGUUCAAGAGAAGAAGAAGACAUGCAGUUCAGACUAUUCUGGGUACUUGAACUGGAAUUAAGAGAUAGACUAUUAACUAUUUGUGGAUCUUCACCCUUUGCACAAAUUGCAACCCAACAUCAAUGGUACAGGUGGGUCUGAUGAUCAAUAACAUUCGUCAAUACAGAAGCAAAGCUUUAUUUAGAGAUGGAAGUCAAUCCAAGCUGUAUUCUGGAGAAGCAGCAGAAAGAAUAUGCCAUUCUGACCUCAUAAAACAGAGUUUUAGAGACUCGAAAAGGCAAAGAGUAGAGCAAUACAAUUGGAAACAUUGAGCAGUAAUUCACAUUUGCAUGCUGCUCGAAGCAGCGAGUAUAGCUGCCAUAAACCAGAACCUCAACUCUGAUUGUAAAAAUGACUUGAAGAUGAGCUCUAUGAACAUCCUCCAUUCAAAUUGUACUGAGAUUAAGAUGUUUGAAUGAAACAAAUUGCAAAGGGAGGGAGUUGUCAAUGAACAAGAACAAUGUUUCUUGGUUUAGUUUAUUUUAUUUCACUGAAGUAGAUACAAGUGCUUCUUAUUAUGCACUUCCACCAGAAACUAAUUCAAUAUAAUUCAUAUUUAUGCGCCACUCUGUAUACUCAAAAGUGAGGGUCAAAUUCUACAGCUGGAAAUCACCUUUUGAUUCAAGCAACCAUUGAAUAAAAGAAGUCUAACCAUGUAUAAAGAAUGCGCUCCAAGGAUUUCUGAACUUGCUCUUGCUGGAAAAAGGUGACAUCAGGUACAGUCCUUGGGCAAUCAACAGCAAUCUGAGCAGCAAGAGCAAAAAGUUAAUGCAGAUAUAAGAAUUGAAUCUCAGCAAAAUGAAUGAGUUUAGGUGAUCAUGUAUUAUGCUAGUAAUAACCUGGCGAAGCAUAUUGAUCUCAUCAUCUGAACGUUCAGUUUCAGGAAUAUCAUAAUACUGUGAAGCACAAUCGACAUAUUCAAGUCGUUUCCUCGUCAAAAGUCUCCCGCGACUAUCUGGAUUAGGUGAUGCAUAUCCCUGUCGUCAGCUGAUAUUUAAAUUACAACUUCUUAAGAACUCAUGCAUAAGCAGUUUGGUACUCCUACAUAAGUGCACUGGCAAGGAACAUUUUCCACAGGAAAAAAUGUAUGUACGGAUACCUCUUAAAACCACAUGGAUAGUUACAUAUGGACCAGAACAGAGAUAGUCAUAGCUUGAACUGUAUUAAUAAAGAAUAAGUUAAUGAUUGUUUGGUUUGGGUUUAAUGUUAAUGAAGUGAACAGAAACAAGGUGUUCUUCUAACUAAUGAAAAACCAAACCCAAGGUUGAAAUAGUGGCACCGGUACCCAUACAGCUAUCUUAUUGGUACAGUAUGUUGGACUAGUAUGGUAUAAUACCAUAGUGACAUGAAGCAUGCCACUCAGUGACAGCACAGAAAAAAUGAGGGCUGAUGUACCGUGUGUCAGUAGUCAAUACAUGAUAGCACCAGUACCUUACUUAAAACUUUAGGUUCAAUUUUGAUACUUUCUAACAAAGUUCGUCGUCUCGAUACUAGACCUCGUACUAGUGCCACACUAGCACUGUAUCAGUACAGUAUGGUACAGAGCCUUUUCGGCAUACCGAGUAUCGGUACGUCAUCUGUACCGAGUACCAGUACUGAACCAAUACGGUAUGGUGUGCCCCAUAUUGCCCGACUAGAAGAACCUUAGAACCUUCUCCUAAUCUUGCUUUAUAACCACAACAUGAAAAAUCUAUGCACUAUUCUGAAAACUCAAAUAGCCAUUUGAAAAUAUGGCAAGUUAUUGAAGAUUUAAAAUCUUUCCUUUUCAUUCCUUAACCCUAGCAGAGAAUCAAACUAACACAACAAUUUAUGGAAAUUUCUGAAAAAUAUCCUUCAUUUGAAAGUCUGCAUGAGAUGUAGAUACCUAAAAGGGCCAUUGUAGAUCAAGAUCAACUUAAUUGCCGAUUCCCCUAUGACAAUAGGGAGAGAGAAUUUCAUCACAAAACCAGUUAAGCACUUAUUAAGCAAGGCCAACGGGCUAAAAUACAUCACAUCUAUGUCAGAAAAUUUUGAACUUUCUAAGCCACAUGUGCAAGCCCCAUAAAAUGAUCAUAAUAACUUGUUCCCACCGAACCGACAAAGUUAAAAGCAUAGCUAAGACUAAAACAAAGAUCAAGGCACAUGUCUUCGUAAAGAGCAGCUCCAUCACUUUUGGUUUAUUCACACCCAAUAGUGGAUUGCAAAAUCAUAAUGUUGCCUAAAUCUAUACCUAUACAUUAAAGGAGAGUCCGACUCUCUCCCAGCAUGCCAUGUGUCAAGCAUUAGAUGUGCAAUGUGGCCCAUCUUUUUUUUUCCUUCUUGGUGAGUAUAGCUUGUCCUUGGUUAGUAGUGGAGAGGGAUACACCCUCUCCCACACGCCAAUGUGGAGAGAGGUGCACGCCUUCUCCUAUCUUGUUUACGGCUUUUUUCCAACCCUCCCAGCACACCACAUGUCGAGUACCACUAUGGUCUAUCCUUGGUUAACAGCUCGGAGAGGGAUGCACGUCCUCUCUAGCACGUCAAUGCGGAGAGUGAUGCACGCCCUCUCUCGCAUGCAACCCAUGUCUGUUUUUUUUCUUGGGGACUGCGACCUGUCCUUGGUUAGUAGCACAGAGGGGACGAAUGCCUUCUCACGCACAUAGACCCUCGUACGCCCCUCACUGCCCCGAGCUAAAGAGUGACGCAACCCCCCUCCCCCUAAUCUAGAGAAGAUGAAAGAGGUUGGAUGGGGUGGGUGGAGAGAGAGAGAGAGAGAAGAUGGAUGCUAGGCCAAGGUUUCAUUGGAGGUCAAGCAGCAAUGGCCCUUCGCCUCCCCCUCUCCGUUGCUCUCUCCCUCCCUCUCGUCUUCUCUUUCUCUCACUCUCACCAGCCCCUUAGAUAGCUUACCGUGCCUCACUGGCCAAGGAGAGGGGUGCAUGUCAUGACCCCUCUCUCUUUCCUAUGACACCCACCUGCUCCCCGUACAUGAGAGGUCAAUGGCAGCAUGGCCACCCGUCAGGAUGAGCAUGGCUCAAACAAGGGAGAGCAUGGCCCUCCCCUAUUUCUCCCACCCUCUAUCCAUCCGAUCCACUACCCACCAUAAGUAGAUAAUGGCGACGCACGAAUACUAGAUACGCUCUCAAGUCCUUUCAUCCUCAUCCAAUCCGCUGCCCACCAUCGGGUAUUAUAUAAAUACAUGUAUCCCAUUGCCUCUUCUAUAUGUGUUCACAUUCUAUCGUCUUCUCUAUUCUUCUCUCAAUUGAUCAAAAAUGGGGAGGAAGAGGAGCGUGUCGACGCUAAAGGAUAUGGAUAUGAAGAGGAAGUGAGUGUUCAUGAGGAUGGAUCUGAACAUGCCCUCGAUGAUGGUCUCAAGAUCAGCAAUGACACCCGGAUCAGGGCCACCAUCCCCACCAUCAAGCACCUCAUGGAUCAUGGCGCCCGUAUCAUCCUCUCUAGCCACCUGCUGAGCUCUCUUUUUCUUCUUCUUCUUUUUCUUUAUUUUUUUCCUCUCAUUAUGUCUAUUUUACUUUGAUAUUCAUUGUUCCUUUGUUGUUCUUUUGGUUAGCAAUCACUUGCUGAUAUAGCAGCUAUAGAUAGAGAGACCUACUUUGAGUUGUAUUUAUUACAAUUUUUACAUCCUCUACACCUGCCUCCUUUGCUUGGAUUCCCUCUACGGUGGACUAAAUCCUACCACAGAGCAUGGGUUACUUGCUAGUUUGACAUUGUAGUUCAGCCUCAUGGGCAAGCUAAGAUGCCUGGGAUCAGAGACAGUGUCAACAGGAAAAUAAACACUUCAACAGUAAACUAUUUAUCCAAAUAGUUAUGAUGUUAGGUGCUGACUUGAGUUACAAAAACUGCUCAGUCUAGAAGCAGUAUACUUGUAUCUUCUAGUUAGAGCAACAUGGAACUGAAUUUGGUAUUGCUUUCUGGGGAAAAAAUAAUAUCAAAAGUAACCAUAAAGGUACCAACUUCUGACAUGGAUAACCAUGUUAUUAAUACCAAAGAAGACAAAAAAAAGAAAAAGAACAGCAUUCAUUAGUAAAACGUGAGCAAGUUCUCUAGUCUGCGCUGCAGAACUGCAAAUUUACACUAUCAUGCAUUUGAGUCAAGCAGAACAUUGAUGUACCACUUCUAAAUACUUAAACAGCUUCCUAGCCUAAGCCUAUUAUCAAGUAGUCCCAUACCAAUAGAAGCCUCCAUAUGCUAGGACGCAUAUCUGGUGGUACGCCAUUCCAAGCUAAUUCACGCAAUUUUUCUGCAUGACAGAGAUCAUUAAAAUAUUUGAAGUUCACCAAAUUCUAGAAUUAAUACAAGAGACUAUGCUUGAUGCAUACGUAAUUAAAUUUAAAUAGAAAAAGAACUCAAGCCCUACAAAAGGAAGCUUUUUGAAAGCUUCAACAAUGCAUAGAGCAGGUUUUUUAUGUGCAAGUUUGCACCAGCCAUAUGUUGGCAUGGCAAACGUGCAUGCAGAGAUAUCUUGCACAUUGUAGAGCAACAACCCAUUCCAGCCCAUACAGAUCCCUGCCAGUUUGGCAUGCCUUGACAUGUGUUGCAUUGCUUAGUACCAAGCCAAAAGGUCCCCUCUUUCGUUUUAAGUUCUGACAUGGCACAGCACCUGCCAUGCUGAUCACAUGGCACAGCACCUGCCAUGCUGAUCACAUGGCCUUUCAUGCCCCAUUUCAAUGACUGUUAAAACCUUCAUAUUGAGAAGGUAUUAGCAGCUCCUCUUUAUGUCUAUCCUUUUUUAUUUUAUGUUUUCUUUGUUUAGGUGAGAGAGGAAAAAGAAAACAAUGCAUGCUCCCAGCAUGCUGCAAAAAUUUAAAUAGGUAAGCAACAGACCAACAAAUUCCUGUCUCCCACUUCUUUUUGGUUUCCAACAUUUCAAUGUCACAGCAAAUCAUAAAUGUGCCUUCUAGCCAACUCUUUCCAUUUUCCAAAUUGGAAUGUGUCCAAUUCUUCUAGCUUUAGAUCAAGCUUUGUUGAGGAUAGGGGAUAAGGUUGUUGCAUUUGUUCAAGCACUAUGACCAAGCAUGCUAAGAACCAGUGCAGAUAAUAGAACAAAGGUUACCCAUAAAACUGACUAAAUAAGUUUGCAAUCAUAUCUGGAACCAAACAACAAGAAGCAGGUUAGUGUACCUAAUAUGACAGAUGAUCCAGACAGUGCUUUUGUGAACUUUGUAAUUCUUGCAGAAUCUACAGCUCUAGCUCCAGAAGCAGAUCUCAGGGCAUCUGACAAUUUACUCUCACUGUUUGUCAUAGUUAUUUUCAACUUUUGAAAUUCUGCACUUUUUAUCCUGUUCCCGGAACUCUGAAGCUCUUCCUGUAGUGUAAAACACUUGAAAUGUUAAUGAAGAAUGUUCAAGUAAUGUGGAUUAAUUAAAUUCUAGUUUUGAAGAUAAAGUCAACAUGUUACCUCAGAAGAAUUAUUUGCCCUUUUACUUUGGCCCAUAUCAUUUUCAGAGUAACUUCUCUCAAAGUUUUGUUGGCGUACAGGUGAGGUCAACUCGCUCGAGGGCUCAGAUUUGCGGGUCAGCGAAACUUUACCAGGAAAGCUGCUGCCUAAUAGUAGCCUGCAUAAGAUAGAAAAAAAUGGGGAAAUUUUUAAAUAUUUUGACAAACUACAUGCCUGGUCAGCAUUGCACCAACCAUACUAGGUUAAAAAUCACUAGUAGUAGCUAAAACAUAGUUUAAAAGAUCAUAGGAAAAGAUUUCGAAUGCAAAAAGGCCUUCAUACAAUUUAGCUGGUGCAAAAGAAAUUGGUUUUACAAGUUAAAAAGGUUACAAUAAUUUCCAAUUUUCUUAAGAAACAGACAUUUGUUAUCUUAAUAUGUUCUCUUAUAGAGCUAAAUGAAUGUGUCUGAGAAAUUUAACCAUGUAUGCAGUAUUUAUCCCACAAUAGUUUUCGCUUAUGUGAAUCAGAAAACUAAAUUUGAGUGGAAGACAGACAUAUGAACUAGAUCGAUGCUGAUAUAGAUAGAAGCACUGAAGUUGGGAAAGAAACUAAUGGAAGCAGAUAGACAACUCUUUAAAAGGAGAGGGGGGAGAAAAGAAGUGAAUUAUUUUAGAGACAAAUUCAAGUUUCUUUAUUUUUCCCAUAUAAAAACAUAACUGUGACUUGAUCGAUUAAUUAACAACUGAAUUCCUCGCUUCACCGAUGAUUGGAUCUUUAUAUACCUAAACAUCCGAUUGCCGCGGGAAUCAACCAUAAUCUCCAUUACACUAUAGACAGACAUGCAUUAAUAGCCAAAAUGUUCAACAAUUCGCAAGAUUUACGACCACAUGAUGUCAGAUUCCGAGACCUGAAAACCUCACGAAAGCUUUCCAAGAAAGAAGAAUUCUCUUCAAGAUUUCCAAACAACAGAUCCAUUUCAAAAAUACCAUUUCAAAAUAAUUUCCCAUCCAAAGUAAUCGAAAGCUUAUUUUAGCACAAAUCCAGAUCAAUUUUCUACACAGGCCAUCAAAAUUAAAGAUCAAACACUCAAAGAACAAACAGGAUUCAAUCUUUCUGCAAUCCCGAGCUAUAAAAACGUAAAAAUUGUUCAGAAAACUAAAAAAAAAGCACAAGAUCAACAGACUUUCCACCAAGAAUCGGUUGGUUUCCACAUCGUCCGAGACAAGCUAGAAGAGAACAAAUCUAAUGCGAAGGCACUAGAUCAAGAUCGUACUCCUGGACGCUUCUGAGGGUCUGAUUGAACCUCGACUCGAGAUUGGAGGUCGCAUUGCUGCUUCCCUUCUCCUUCUUCUUCUUCUCCUCCUCUCUUGGGUUCUUCAUGGCGUCGUCUUCUUCUCGGUUGUAAUAACAAUCACCAUGGCAGCGUUGGCUUCUCCUUUUGCUCCUUUGUUCCUUCCUCCUUUCCAGCGCCCAAAACAGCACUAAAAGGAGAUGGGUGAUGUGCGAAGCCACCACAAAGCUUGAGAUUUGUAUUGAAUAAAAUCUCAUCCGUCGGUUUGGUGUUCUCAGUUGAUUUGGUCCGCUUGAUCGGGCUUCUGAGAUUGGUGAGCUAGGUGGUUAAAUUCGUUACCAGUAACCAGAACAGGAAAGGUAGGGUACCGAUGCAUCCCCAGAGAAUAAUGGUUUUGAGCUUCACCUGCAAUUUUAGGGCACUCAUUGCUAUUAUUUUGUCACAAUGUUAUUAUUCAUCCAUUAUUUUAAGAUGUAGCUUUGAUUAAAAAAAGAAAACAAGAGCAUUAAGCACCAUCAAUUAUUGAAGCAAGAUGAGAGCAUUAAUUAUCAUUGUGAAAGUAUGGCAUGAGUUUUUAGUUUAUUUUAAGUCUAACAUGUAAUGCACCAUAGUUUGCAAUGGUUAUAAUCAUCUUGUAAAAACUUACUUUUUUAUGCUAAUUUGGAAUCUUAUCAUAUAUGUUUUGGUAAAGUUUAUAAUUGUUGGCCAAAAUAGUCUGUUUCGUAUUUUUAGAGCAUCCAAUGUAGUCAAUGAAGAGAUAUAACUCGAUUGCUUUGAAAAUUUGAAAAUUAUAAUCAUUGAUCGACUUAACAAUAUCUUAUGCUAUUUUUAUACUGUAGACUGAACAUUUAUUGUAAUUGAAUGUAAGCACUUUAAAGUGCAAAAUGUGCCAUGAAUUUCACUUCCAUUCAUACUAUACAUAUUUGAUAAAUAUAAACAAGCAAUUAAAUCAUUAUUUGAUGUAUAAUAUACUUUAUUGUUUCUUGUGUUAAAGAGUUAUUGCCUAUUUUAAUAAUUAAUUGAUGAUUAGCAAUGCUAGAAAGAAGCAGGAUGCUUACAUGUUGUAUGCUGGCAUUAAAAAUAACCAUUAGUUUUUCAUGAGUUUGAGUUCUGGAGAGGGCAUGAUUUCCUUUUAAGUAUCUGGGUUUGCAUGGUGGUUUAGGUGAAGAGGAGCCCCUUUCUCUCCCUUUUAAAUUUUUAUAUUAAUAUGCAUUUUUUUGAAAUAUAGAGAUAUUGGUGGGAUCUAUCUGAAAAAUCACUCUAAAAUCUAAAUCCCUUUCAUUCAUAAAAGUUACUCAUAUCAAGUGGAAUAUAUGUCCCUUUACAGGAAGUAAUGAGUUAUAUGUUAUUUAUAAGGUUUCUAAACUCAUCCUUCUAGGAUCUAAUUCUAAUAGGAGUAAUACAAAAAGAUACUUGUUUGGUAUAUACAAAAAGUGUUAAAUGGCCCAUGGCAGAAGAGCAUUAGUGUAACCUUAUAAACAAAACUUUUUAAUGCAAUUUGUGAGAAAUUUUUAUAAACAAAACUAUGAAAGAAAUGGUCAUGAAAUGCAUGUAGGGGAAGAUUUGGCUCCUGUCUUUGGGAGGAUGUCAACAAAUUUUAUUAGCUAAAAAUUGUGUACCUCUAGACAUUUUGAUUGGAUAGAAGAACUUGGACAUAUCAUAGAGUUUUUCAUAUUUUUUUUUAAAAAAAAACACUUAAAACCAACUGUCCUAACAUAUUUGAUGUGGGCCCAAGUUGCACAAUCAAUAAUAAUUUUCAGAUACCUUCAUCAAAAAAAUUUCAGCUCCAACACCCACCAUUAUUCCUCAUUGCAGGUUCCUGCUUUAAGAUGUUAAGUAGUAAUUAAUCAAGAUAAACAGUGAAUUUCUAGUACUUUCGAACAAAUUAACAUCCAUUGUCAUAGACUGGUUGGUAAUGUUUAAAAAUUGUUUAAUUUAGAAUCUAAUUAAAAUGGUUAUGAGCUCUGCACCUACACACCCGUGUAUGAGGCGCUGUUGUACUUAAAAAAAAUAAAAAAAAAGAUGGUUAUGAGAUCAACCCAAAACCGAACUAGAGCUAGAGUUGUCACAUGGAUCUAACAUGAGUUGGUUUAUUCAGAUGUAUAAUUUAACCAAUUUUAGAGUAUUUGCUCAAGCCUAACUCUAACUUAUCAAACUCUCUCUCUCUUUCCCUUCUACAUAGCCAACUCCCAAGUAAUUGCACAAUUGGACUCACACCCAACCUUUCAUGGGUAUAUACUUCACUUUUGUUUCAAGAAAAAAAAAUACAUUAUGAAAAAAAAGUACAUUUAUCAAGUUGUAAAUAAUAAUUAAAAAAAUAGACGAGCGGAUCACAGCCAUCCAUCCUUCCUCUCUCAUGUUCUUUUAAUUUAAGCAUUAACUCAAACACUCCCCGACUCAAACCUAGGCCCCAGCCUUAAUAAUGAAAUUAUUUUAUUCCAACCCAUCUUUAAUGUAUUGUUAUCCCCACCGCGUGAAUAACUUUAUAGGACUAAACACAGACAUGACAGUUGUGCAAUAUCCCCCCACCCCAAUAAAAGCAUAGUAACGAGCCAAUUCCAACGUCUUUCUUUUAGCGUUAUUCUAGGAACAACUCACCGGACCCCACGCCUCCAAAUCUAAUUUCUUUUGCCGCCCCCUUGACCCCCGCCGCAGAAUCCCAGGGCACGGUCCAAUUAAAUUGUGACGCUACGAGUCCCAAACAAAACUCUAACCACAAUUAAUUUGGUAUCAGAGUUGGGUCCCGAAGUACUCUCUUACAUUAAAGAACGCGGAACCCAAAUUUCCUAUCCCAUCAAAAUGACCGAAUCAAAAGAUCUGCCGUCCAUCCGGUGGAUCCAAGCUCAGACUUGGGCACGGUCCAUAUUUUCUCACCACUCUCAAAGCAACGAAAUUGGCUCUCCGACCGUCCGAUUAGUGGAGUCCGCUUGCUGUUCCAUGGUGGUAAUUUGGAGUCACUUUUUUGAAGGGCAUUUUGGGAAGUCGGUUCGGACAAUCAUUCAGAUAGCCGAAAUAAAUUGCCGUUUGGCAUCCGCUGGUAUAAAAGAAAGCUAAAAGCGCGAGAGAGAGAAAGAGGGAGAGAGAGAGAGAGAGGAGGGAGGGAAGAGAGNNNNNNNNNNNNNNNNNNNNGAGAGAGAGAAGAGGAGAGAGAGAGAGAGAGAGGGAGGGGAAGAGAGUGAGGAGUAUAAAAAGGAGAAAGAAUUAUGGAUGGAAAAGGGGAAAGUAGCGAGGAAAGGAAGAAGGGAAAGGGGUUUUAGCGGAGGCGAUUCGGAAUCUGCAUUUCGCGAUUUGUGGUGGAAAAAUCGCAAAAAAAGAGGUAUUUUUUGUGGUUCUCUUUGCUGCAGAUUUGUCUGAUUUGUUGAUUUCUUCUCCUGUUCCUAACCUAAGAACUUGUUGAUGAAAUGUGGGAGAAAGAGUAGAUGUAUAGGAUGCUUGGUUGUUUUAUUGUACCAUUUUUGUUCUAAAGUCUGGAUUCCUGCAUUGCAUUAUAAAAUUCUAGCAGUUAUUGAGUUUAAAAAGGGAUUUUUUUUUGCAGCUGUUAUAUGUUUGAUCUGCUGAUGAGUGUGGAUUCUGAGUUACUGUUCGAUUGAAGUAUGGAGCGUCAGAUAUUUAGUGGAUAACAGUUUUUGUUGUGUUAUUUAUCUGUUUAUCUGUUUCUUUUUAGCUGUCACUUUUAUGUGCUUGAUGUCUGUUGAAAAGUUUUGGUUUCUCUUUUUUAAUUUCACUGUACAUGCUAUGAUUAAUUGAUAAAGCGGUAUCUGUUUAAAAAAGAAUGUAGACAGAUUUUGAAAGUAUAUGAGCAGAUCAAAAAUUGCAUCCCUAGAUUUGAGAAAACAGGCUUGAUCUUUUGCAACACAAGUUUGAUGAUGAUAUCCUGAAUAGGGCGAUCUAAUUGAAAUGGGAUUGUAAGCAGUGUGGGGUGAUCUAUGAGAAGAACAUUGUUUUCUUUUCGUGAAUACCUACAACCCUUGCUCAUUUAUUGUGAUUCUUUGUGGAGAUUGUUUCCACUUUCAAUGCAAAAAUGUGGCUGAUCUUUAAUAUUAAUGCAGAGAUAGUAUAGAUUGUGAGAAGUGGUUUCAUUUGCAUCUUUUCUUUUCAUAGUCAGCAAACCUGUAACCCAAGUUAGAUGAAAUCAUCCUCAUACUAGUAGUAAAGCUAAGUUUGCUAUGUCUUUCACUAUUCUUGUAUGACUCUUUUUGAGUGGAGGUCUAACACAUGUAAGAUCCUUUAGAAGACUCACUUGGUUGACAGAACUGGGUAGAUAUUAUUUGCUUGUGGCAAUGUUUGAAAGUGUGAGGUAGAGGGGUAGCCAGGGGUGCACUCAAAAUUACCUAGAGCGCAGAAAUUACAGAAAUAGGCACAAGAUACUUAAAACAAAUUUAGCAACAAUUAACAAUUGAAUGUUCGAAAUAUUGUACCUUAUUUUCAUGUCUGUUUGACCAUGGAGCCAUGAGAAAGCAAUUGUUCAAAGUGGUGAAGAAUUUCAAGAGAGAAAGUGGAUAGAGAGAAGAAGAGUGCGGUUUCUUUUUUUUUUUGGGGGGGGGGGUCUAAACAAGCUUUCAUCAUCUAAUCCUUUACCCGGCAAAAUGGGGUUGAUUAUGGAUCAUAACUCUUAGUUCACUGGUUCUUUGGAAGAGCUGAGCAAAUAUUUAUGAUUAGCUUUUGACUAUAGAUAAACAUUUAAAAAAUUCACUCUGAAUUCCUUUCCAGGGAACUCUAAACACGAGAGGGGCUUGCGAAAGAACCUCGAAGCCAACUGGUUGUAAGAGGCUUUCCUUAGUAGUUGUAGUUUAAGAUCACGCAACAGGGAGCAGUCCUCCACUACUUUUCUAAACUCGUGAAAAUCCUAGAGGAAGAAGUAUGACAAGGUUUAGUCUUUUAUAAAUGAAUGGCCUUCAUCUAUAAGGCACAUUUUAUAAGACAGUUAAAUUGAAUUAUAAUCUUCUAAUAAGUUUUGAAGCUCCAACAUGCCUCUUUCUUCACUGUAUUGUGCUCUUGGUUUCAUCAUAUAUGACGUGGCCAUCUUUGUCAUUAUACCAUGUAUUAUCAUCAACCGAUAUACCAGUCACCAGAUCUUAUUGUCAUGUCAAAUCAUUUAGCGAACUCGUUCUUGGCUUUGCUUUUCCUAGUUGUACUAGAAAUACUCAACAUCUUCUACUUUUCUGCCUGGGUUUUUUGCACGUACACCCUCUUUAUUGCCCAAAUCUUUGAUGCGUGCAGCAUGAUUGUGCUUUCUGCAAUUCUAAAAAUUUUUCUGUAGGGACUCAUCUAUCUUUAAUGAUCAGAUCUUUCUAGAAGUGCAUCUCCACAUUAUCCAUCUUGCUUGAUACUGCUUCUUGAGUCAUUUUUCCUGUAAAUCUGAGACAUUAGAAACAAUUAGCGAUCAAACUGUGGUAUAUCAUGAGAAUCAAUUUAAUUGGAGUCUGUAAUGACACAUCAAGCUGCCUACACUAGACAAUGUGAUUAGCUAGGUCACCUUUUGAAUGUAAACAAUAAUUUUAUUGCUACCACGGGUAAAUAGAUUAAAGUAUAUUAUGUUAAGAAGUACUUGCUUCUUAAAAUAUCUAUCAUUGAAGUAACCCUUCUGCAUUCUCCAUCCUGAAGUUUGUAGCUGCAGGUAAUCUACAAGGCAUUUCACUAUAUGCUGGAACUAUGGUGUGUUGGUGAAUAAAUAACUGGGUGCCUUGUGGCACUUCUUCUUGCAGGCACCUAUGUCAUCAAAAGGUUGAGGAGAUAUGGAGCCUCUUAACGCUGAUUUUCACCUUUGCAGUAAGUGGCUAAAAGAAAAUCUCAGAUUUUUUUCUGAAAAUUUUCAAAAACAACAUCUUAAAAAAUUGUGACUUCAUGACUGUCUGCAAGGCACUGCCAUUUCCUAUCCUUUUUCCCUUGUCAUUAUUUAUGCUUUUGCUAUAUUUUCUUCAUUUGUUUUACCAGUUUAUCUAUUUAAAGAGAAUGUCUGAGUUAAAUGGUUUUAAUUUCUCUAUUUGCUAGGAUAUAAUGACUUUUUCAAAGAUAUGAUAAAUUGUUCUGUAGAUAUUUACUAACCAUCGAAUGAAUAACACUCGAAAGGUUCUGGUCAGAUGCAUUUUUAACCAAAAAUAAAAUUGAAGCUGCAUUAGAAAAGGCCAUUUAACUUUUCCAUAAGUAUCUGACACGAGAAUCUUCUAAUAAUCUGGCAUAGAGACAUGUUUGUGUCUUAUAGAUAUAUAUGUAUAUGUAAGUGUGUGUGUGUAUAUUAUAUUCGAAUAUGUAUUUUUUUUCUUUAAGGAGGGAGCGGGAGAGGGAAGAAGGGAGAGCACUGGGUUAGCAUGGCUCACUUCCUGCGGGUUAAAAAGAGAUCUUUUUUUGGUCUUGCAGGAGCGGCCCCACAAGCCCUAUGCUCUUCCUUUUCCACUCUUCAGCUCCCUUCCUCCCCGACCUUGGCGCUUACUUUCUGGCUAUCCCACAGGAUCUUGUGUGAAGUGCGCAAAUGGGCCCUUAAGGUGAUCUAAGUCUCGAGUUUUAUCCUUGGAGAGAAACUAGGAUUAGAAAAUCUUGAUGGUCACCUGGUUAAGUGGCUUGAACCUAUGACAUCUUGCAUGUAAGCAAGAGGGUGCUACCACUAAGCUAAGCUCAGUUUACAUAUUCAAAUAUGUAUCCAUGUAUGCAUAUAAUGAAUAAUGAGCUAAUCCAUGCUACUUAAGUUCAUAAUGUCUGAUCAAAUGACUGAGAGUUGCUAUGUUAGACUCGGUAACUUUCAUAAAGAUGUGCCAAAAGUAGACAUGUAACAAUGGUAGCAUCAUGAUUUGAUAAUAUGAAGUGUCAAGCACUGUCAUGAAAUGUCCCAAGUGUCCAAGUGUCUGACACAUCAAAAUACCCAAAAUUUGAAGUGUCCAGCUAGCACUACAUAAAAUCAUCUACGCGUUAAGCAUUCAUGAAUAUAGCAAUAUGACAUUUCAUUGGCAACGCUGGCAUAUUGAUCAAGCAAUUUAUAUUUGCAAAAAUCCAUAAAUACAAGAAGGAAAAGGGUGGGAUUUUGUAAUGUUUAUACNNNNNNNNNNNNNNNNNNNNAACCACAGCGCGCGGUGCGGGGCCCAAACUGGCCGGUACGCACCCGUACCGGCCGGUUCAGAUAAAAAAUCGGAAAAUACCGGUUUUUGAUCCGUUCCGGUACCGGUCCACGGCCGGACCGGUACGUACCGGCCCGUACCGGCCGGUACGGGCCGGUACGGCAUUCCAUGGUUUAUACUGGGUACACAUGCCUGUAACAUAGUUGAGCAUGGGAAUUAUAAAUUUUGCUUGUUAGUGUAUUAAGCAAUGAAUGAGCUCUGUUGAAGUUCAACUGUACAUAUUUAACAUGCAAAUAACAAACUCUGACCAUGAUUAUGGAUAUUACUAUCAUGGAUUCUAAGUCCACCUUUUCAAUACAUGUCCCCAAGUCUUAUGGGAAACCCAAAAAUGUCCUUUUCCAACCAUGAUAGCCCAGCAGUUUGUUCUUCCUUUUUGUAGCCAUCAUCUCAUUAAAAACAUGCUUAAAUUGGUAGUAGCCUGUAAAGUUAUGUAUACACAUAGCAUCACAAAAAUGGAUGUUAGAACAUAUUGCCAUAAACAUGGCUAACGACCUGAAAAUAUCUUAUACUACCUUGUAUGUUUGAUAACAUUGUCAAAAAUAUGUUAUUUUCAAAGGUGUUCUUAUAUGCAUAGGACAUAUUGGUGAAAUGGCAAUGCUCCUAUUGAUACAACUAGAAAGAUCUCCUAGUUUUGCAAGGGGAUUAACCUGUUUUUCUUUGGACAAUCAUUGUGAACACAUAAUUCCAUUAGCUAUUAUCUCAGAUCCUGGACAACAAACUUAAAUUGGUAAAACAUGCAUUAUUCCACGUAGAUGCUAGACAUAGCUACCUAAAUAUGACUAUCAGGUUGCAUGCUAAAUGACCUUAUAUGAAAGUGAUCACAUUUAAUAUAUUGCAUGCAGAAUAUGUGUGUGUGUGUGUGUGUAUAAAUUUUAGACUUAUUGGUACAUCUUGUGGCUUGGUAAUGCGAGGUGGUUUUGGUUCUGCAAAACUUGUUGGCAACAAAAUGUCAUUGCAGCAUACUAUCUAUACCAGUAUAUAAUGAAAAUAUGCAUGAUUAAUCAAUGCUUCUCACUGGACGUUCAACUGACCAUCUCAUGUGAUGGCAUGCGAGAUGGAAAACCAGGAUUCAACAGUACGUUUGAGAGUCCAACUAAGAGAAGGAAAGAUGGGAUUAGUGACAUCAUUGGGGACAGAUGGGAUUUCUUCUAUAAUUAGUAGUCUUAAAAGGGUAAAAAAGAAAGAAACAUCAGGAAUUCUAGUUGGACCAGGCUGGGAAGACACAAAUGAAUUGAGAUUCCUGAGAAACCACAUGAGCAUAGGAGAAAUGUGAUAUUUGAAAGGAAAAAAGUAGAGUACUUGAUGGCUGGAAGCUUGGGAUUCCUGUGACCUUAUGAUUCACAUCUCUCUCUCUCUCUCUCUCUCUCUCUCUGCUGGAUAGUGUCUUUAUUUAAUCACAAUCAUCUACCCAUUUUCAUGUGUGGCUGUCUGGUCCACAAUGUGUGCGACAUGCUUUCCUGUUCCUUGCAUGCAAGGUACCAUGUCCUCUAAUACUAAUGAUAUUGAUGCUUAUAAUUCAAUAAAUGCUGACUAGAGAUAUGUUUUAUUGCAGGUACAUUAUAUCGUCGAUUUCUCAUAUUUGCAAUUUGGUUAUGUAGUUUCCAGCAGGUUGUGUCUCAGGAAGUAGUACUUAAACCAAAGCCCAGUGUUCCUGAUAAAUUUAUGCUGUCUGAUCCGCCUGCUGGCCUCUUUGAUCCAAUAGAGAUCUCUCCUGCUGUCAUUCCACGUAAUCCGUAUCCUGUAGAACCACUAUCACCAAUGUACCCGUCGUUUCCCAGCACAUAUGAGCCAGUUCUGACUGGGAAAUGCCCUGUAAAUUUUUCUUCAAUUUCGGAUAUUGUGGAUAAGACUGCUUCCGAUUGUUCUGCACCUUUAGCAGCAUUAGUUGGGAAAGUUAUUUGUUGUCCCCAGGUUAAUAGUUUGAUGCACAUUUUCCAGGCCACUUACAGCAGUGAAUCUGACACGCUAGUUCUGCACCAGGCUGCUGCUAAUGAUUGUUUUUCAGAUGUCAUGAGUAUAUUAGCUAGCAGAGGGGCAAACAAUACUAUCCCUACACUUUGCUCUGUGAAACCAUCAAAUCUUACUGGUGGUUCGUGUCCUGUGAAAGAUAUUACAUCAUUUGAGAAAACAGUUAACACAAGCAAACUGCUAGAUGCAUGCAGCACUGUUGACCCACUUAAGGAGUGCUGCAGGCCAGUCUGUCAACCUGCAAUCAUGGAAGCUGCACUUCGCAUCUCUCUAGGAGGAGCAAGUAUGCUUGAGAUUUCUAAUCUACCUGGUGGUGGCACUGCAGUCAAUGUUGUCAAUGACUGCAAAGGGGUGGUGUAUGCUUGGCUUUCUAGGAAGCUCUCACCAGAGGCUGCUAACACUGCUUUUCGGAUAUUAUCUGGCUGCAAAGUUAACAAAGGUCUGUUGUAUUAUUAUCUUGUAGUUUUGCAGCAAGCAUUUUCCUUGCUUACAAUAAUAUGACAUGCUUUUCUCCUUCACCACCUCUCUCUCUCUAUACGUGCAUACAUGCAUACAAACAUACAUACAUAUAUCCUGAAAUCAGGCACUUCCCCCCCCCCCCCUCUUUCAAAAAGUAUAAUUCCAACAUUACAAAAUUGCUUGAAUAUUAGCCAAAUAUUGCUCCAUACUGAAAAGAAAGCUGAUGCCAAAGCAAUGAGAUAAGAAAAUUAUAUGAGAAAAAAUAGGAGAAACUAGCAGACUGAAUGGAAAAGUAUGAGACUAUAUACGUAUACUAUUAUAAAUACCCAUGCAUGCUUCCACUCCUAAAUGCUCAUUUGCCUGCAUGUGUACCUCUGUGCACUGAUGCUGCAUUAAUGCUUUACCUUGCAUUCAUAGUCCUCUUAUUGUAUGCUAGCACUUGAUGGUGGAACUAUGUUCACAACUAUAAAUGCAAUAAUCAGGGAUUCUGCUUCACACAAUGUUGAUACAACAACACAAGUUCAUGACAUGCGACUGACAUUUGGUCUAUUCUCUCAUAGUUUGUCCCCUGACAUUUGAAGAGCCUUCAUCAGUUAUCAAAGCAUGCCAUGAUGCGGCUUCUCCGAGUCCUUCCUGCUGUGCUUCAUUAAAUACUUAUAUUGCAGCAAUACAAAAACAAAUGCUGAUAACAAAUAGGCAAGCCAUCAACUGCGCAACACUCUUUGGGUCAAUGCUACAGAAAGGAGGUGUUAUGACAAAUGUAUAUGAACUUUGUGAUGUUGACUUGAAAGACUUCAGCCUUCAGGGUAUAUUUAUGAUUUCAGGCCUGUUUGGAUAUUUCUACAGGAUUGGGCUGAAAAUCCUGUAGGAAUCGGGCCUUUUGGCCCUUCUAGCUUAUAUUUUAUAAGAGCUUGUCCAAACCCAUCCUAGAUCCCAGUCUUUGGGCUGUGGGAAGAAAAAAAGACCUAUGGAGGUCUUAUUUUUUUUACUUCCUACAGGGUUGGGCUGGGCCAUGUUUGGUUGAUACAUGGUCAUGCUUAAAUGAACAGUCCAAUCCACGAAUCAUAAAGAAUUUUCAGCCCAGACCUGUAGAAAUAUCCAAACAGGCUCUUAUUAGCACUUUUAUUCUCUACUUUAAGCCCUCUGAAUUGUGACUGAUCUCUAACAUUAUUUUACUUAUGUUGAUCUGUGCUAUGCAAUUGGGGCAGCAUAUGGGCAACAAGGUUUGCUAUACACUUCUUUCAAUAUCGAAUUCAUAGGUACUUUUCGCACAGUACGGCAUCUUUACCUAUAGAAUAUUUUUGAAUGCAGGUUGUCUGCUUCGGAGUUUACCAGCAGACAUUGUACUUGAUAAUGUUACCGGAGUUAGCUUUACAUGUGACUUGAGUGACAAUAUUGCUGCACCAUGGCCUUCCUCAUCUUCUCUUUCAUCCUUGUCCCUUUGUGCCCCUGGUGAGUAAAAUACUGAUUUUCUAGCUGGUUGUAAUCAGGAUUUAGGACAAUGUUUCUUGCAAUUUUGCUUUUUUGAGACAUAUCCCAACUUACCCAAUAUUAUUUAAAACAAUGCAAGCUUGACGUUUUUCACGAUUUGAAACUAAUCUUCCAAUCUGGUUUCUUGAAUUUACAGAGAUGUCAUUGCCGGCGUUACCAAUACCACAGACCUCUAGAAGCUCAGGUACGUUGUAUUGAAUGAUAUCAGUAUUAUUUGCUAUGGACAUGCUCGUAUACAUCAUGUGCUCCUCAAACUGAUAUCCUCUAUACCAAACUUGUGCUUGCAAGGAUUUUCUCUGCUGAUAUAGUUGCAUGUAAUGUAUUCUAUCUCAUAGGAAUUAUUGUUGGAGGCUUUCCGUUGUGUGUGCUUACAGGAUGCAGGGAUUAUGUGGCUAAGUAUCUCUCUAAAGUCUGGUCAUUUUGAGCAAUCAUGUUGGAUACUGAUGUUCUAUAAAACUACCUUUCUUUGCACCUAGUAUAGUUGCAAAACUUACUAAUAUAUGAUGUCAAAAAUGUUCUCCUUCAAUUAUUUCCUGGUGCUCCUUUUCCUGCCCUAGUGUCCAAGUUCCAAAUAAGGAAACUUAAAGAAACACAGAAUCAGAAACCUCACCACCCAUGGUGUUAAGCACAAUAUUGAAGUAAUGACCAUCAAGUUGAGAUACAUGCUUAUGCGUAAUAAUAGGACAUUGGCAAAGACGGCCUAGAUUUGUGUAGAAAGCUAGAAAAGAAGAACAGGAGAUCUGAAAAAUCCUAUGGUAAUGAGGAUCAGCCUUUAUAUAGGGUAGUAUGGUGAAGAAGGAAGCAUAACCAAACCUAGAUAAAUGGGUUAAAACUUGUUGGCAAUGGUUCUUAUCACCUCGAUAUGCUCUGUAAAUGGCCAAUGCUAUUGAAACUUUUAUGGAAAACGACCUCAGAAGGCUAUGAACCAUUUAGCUGAUGCUUGAAUUGUAUAUCAUGUUCGUUUAUUAGUUUUCUGCUAGGGUGACCACCUCUAUAACUUCUACAUUGCAUGUGGAUAUUGAAACUUGAGUGAUUUUUUUUUUCUACUUAAUUGGUAGAAAAAUCAUAGUUUAAUAAGUGCCUUUCGCAUGCUAGUUUAUUUUAAACUCUGGGUGGUUCGAAUGGGGGAGUAUUCAUCAAAAAGAAAAGUUUUUCUUUUUAUUAUUUCCAAAGGAAAGACCGUGCCAAAUAGUUAGAUUCUAACAAAUGUAAUUCUUCUUUGUCAAUCUUGAUAACACAUUGAACUCUACGAACCAUUCUGCUUAUGCCAAAAACCUGAUUGUUAGUACAUCGAUGUUGGCAGCCAAGUUUGCUUACCGUGCAUCUUUGUGAAUAAUUAUAAACCGACUAAUAACAAA
rnacentral:lncRNA from 1 species